CAGCAUCAGUUGCACCUUGGGCCAUACCCUUAACCUUUUCUCCAGUCUGCUGCAAAAACCCAGCUGAAUUGUCUUUUCCUGAUUGGGCCGUUUCCUUAGUUGACUGGCCCAUUUCUGACCCCUUUUCUCUUGCUCGACCAGUUGUGUCUUGGGCUUUUUCUUUUGUUGCUUCGGUUGUCUGUUGGGUCUUAUCCUUUGCUGCUUGGGCUGUUUGUUGGGUCUCAUCCUUUGCUGCCUGGGCUGUUUGUUGGGUCUUUUCCUUUGCUGCUUGGGCUGUUUGUUGGGUCUUUUCCUUUGCAGCUUGGGCUGUCUGACUGGUUUUGUCUUUGGCGGUUUGGGCUGCUUGCUGGGCUUUUUCCUUUGCAGCUUGGGCCUUAUCUUCUAUGUUGCCAAUCAUUUGGUUGGUCUUUUCCUGAUCCACCAAUCCAUCAAAGCACGAUUAAUUCCUCUUUUAUUUUUUAUUUUUUUAAAUUAAAAAUGGCAUUAGCAUAGUCAUUUUUAUAACACUCGGCAUUUGUUAAACAUCUUGCUCCUAAAAAAUAUAGAAUGCAAUACUUAAGAUCAGAAAAUAAAGGAAUAUAUUUUAAUUAUUGUUUCGUGGUUAUCGGUUUGGGAAAUUUAGGAUUUUCACAUCAGAAAAUAAAAGGAAUAUAUUUUCACUGUUGUUUUGUGGCUAUGAGUUUUGUAAAUAUAGUAUUUAUUGAGAAUUGAGUAAUUUAAUUUUGAGUUUAGAAGGAUAAGUGAAGAAGAUGAUGAUGAUGUUAUUAAGGGUUUCUUUAAUUUUAAUAAAUAAUUUUUUUAAAAUAAAAAUAGUAAUAAUAAUCCUGUGUAACUUGCACUAUAAUUUUUUAAUAAAAAAUAAAAACUAUGAUUUAUUUGUAUAUAUUUUAUAAGAUAAAUAAUUUAAACGAAAAAAUAAAAUUCAAUUAUAAUACAUUAUUAAUAUAAAAUUCUUUAAUAACAUUAUACUUGUGACCCAACAUUACACUUGUGACACUUGUGAGCUUCAUUGAGAAUGUAAAAACUAUGUAUAUAUAAAUUAAAUUUAGAAUAAAAAUUAAUAUAUUAUAAAUAAAUAAAACAAAAAAAAAUUCAGAAAUAAUUUUGCAUGAAAUUUGUUAUAUAUAAUAUACCUCAGUUCGGCCCAUGGUCUCACCAGCUUUGUAGCUUUGGUCGUGUGAUGCCAUUUUUGUUCUUCAAAGAGUAUGAAUGAUUUCACUCACUAGCUAUAUUAUACAAACUUUCCUUUUAUGGUAUUUUGAACACUUUAGUUUUGGUGACGAGGUUUGAACAACUUCAUUCAUACUUUAUUUAUAGUAUUUCAUGGCCUGUGUAUGAUAAACACGUGUUCAACUUCUUGACACGUACGUGUACUUGCACGUGUCGCUCAAAGACAAUGGUUAUAAACUUGAGAUGAGGAACUAGCCUGUGAAAGUUUGCCACGUUUGUUUUACUUUAUUUCUAUACGAGGCGCAGAGACACUGAAUUGAUGAGUCAUGAGCUUUAAAAUUGUCGUUUUGUCAAAAGAUAUUUCAUCCAUUUUAAAAGUGUAACUAUAAUUUUUUAUAUUAUACUCUCAAAUAUAUCAAUAUAAUUUUGGAGAUAAUUAUGAUAAAACUAAAAUAUUUGUAAUUAUUUAUUAAUUGUAAUUAAUUAUAGUAUAAUUUUUUUUAUAUUGAUAUUAUCUAAAAUUAAAUUUUAAAAAAUAAAUGUGUUUAAAUUUUUUAUUUAUUAUAUUAAAAAUAUAAAAAGAUAAUCAUCAAUAUUUUAUUAAAUUAUUUAUAUUAUUUAUUUCAGUGUUUUUUACAAUUACUAAUAUAAAGUGUGAUAAAUGUUUUAGAAGUCUAGUGUACAUAAUAUUGAUCGAGGUUAAAAUUAAAAAGAAAAUCAAAAUUAUUAUAAAAAUUAAAAUAAUAUUUAUUUUAAAGUGAUUAUUUUUAUUAAAAUGAUAUUCAUUUUAAGAUAAGAGAAUAACAAUUUUUUGUUUGAGAAGUUAAUUAUAAAUUUUGCACAAUAGUUAUUAUUUUAAGUGUUAACAAUUUGAUAUCGUUAACGGUACAUAUUCACAUAUACGAGUAUUUAAGAUAUUAUAAUUUUGUCUCAUUUAUAACAAUUUUAUAAUUUUAUGCAAUUAAAAUAGAUAUUUGAGUUACUUUGUACAUUCAUCUAUUUUAAUUUUAGUAGUUUUAAAUUUAUAUUAUUUUUGAUCUAUAUAUAAUUUAUUAAUUUGAAUGAAUAAAUAUUAUUUUUCUAAUAAAAAAUUUAAGAGAUACAUUUAAGAAAAAAAAAUUAAUGCAUCUAAAUUAUUAGAGAAAUCAAGUAACGGUUCUUAAAAAUGUGAAAUAAUUAAUAUUCAUUAUGUCAUAGUUAUGAAUGAAAAUUUACUAAUACUCCCUACUAAGUGAGGGCAUUUUCUUCAUUUUAUUAUAGAACAUCCUCUAGGAGAUUGUCAAAUUGCAUGAUAUAACGUCUGAGUAUUGUUUCAGGUUGAGCUAGCUCUUGGAAUGAAGUUAAACAUAACUUCAACCUAUAGACCUUAGACAAAUGGUUAGUUGGAAAGGACUAUACAAUCUGAAUUAUACCAUUUGAAGGUUUGUAUGGAAAGAAGUGUAAAACUCCACUUUGUUUGUUUGACACAAGAGUUAGUUAGUACUUUGACCAAAAAUAAUUCAAGAUACGACCAAAUAUAUCAUAAUGAUUUAAAAUCGAUCCAAUAAAAACCGCAAACCAAUAAUCGUCUAAAACAAAUUAAAAACUGCCACAAAACUAAUUAUUGUUGGACGUGUUUUGAUACAUUUUAAUACUUAUACAUUUAUUUACGAUUAGUAUGAGAUAUUGUAUUAAAUUAUUAUUUAUUAAUUUUAAUGAUUUUUUUAAUAAUAUUUAUUUGUUUAAUUUUAUAUAAUUUUAUUAUAAUUUCAUGUUUCAAAUAUAAUCGAUCAAUAUUAUUUCAUAAUAUUAAUUUUUAGUAUAUUUUAUAUGUAAUAUUUCGCUUCACACUUGAUACUUUAACAUGGUUUUAUAAUAUUAGUAUUAAAAUAUUAUUUUAAAAAUUUUAAUUUGGUUAAACCAAAAACCAUAUUAAUUUGUAUAUAAUCAAAUCGGUUUGUUUUUAGAAUUGUCAUCCAAACUAAAUUUAAUAACAUACAAUUUAGUAUUAGGAUCAGAUGAUGUUUUGCCUCAUAACCGAUCCAAACUAUAUAGCGUGCACUCUUAAAAUUUAUACAUUUUAUUGAAUUCACGUAUAAAAACAUUUAUCAUUCUAGUAUUGGAAUUGUACCAAGAAAUUAGUUUGAAACAAGAAAAUACUUGAAUCAAUUCUAAUACUAGUAUUAUGAUAUUUUUAGUUGUAGCUUGAACUAAUUCCGGUUUAAGUACUAAAAAUAUCAUAAUAAUUAAAGAGAAGAUGAGAGUAGCUAAAAGUAGACAAAAUAAUUAUCACAACAAAAGGUUGAAAAAGUUAUCUUUUUAUUGGACUAUAUGAAGUGUUGGAAAAGAUAAGAGUUGUUGCUUAUCAUUUUGUCUUGCUAGAGUUUUUGUCGAAUUUGCACAAAUUUAGAAUAACACUGACGAGACAACGCAACUAGUAGUCCAUUGCAGUUUUAAAUUUCUUAACGAUUGGCUGCUAGUGCAUCAAGUUAAAGAAGUCUGAAUUGUUCUUGUGUUGCAGAUAAGGGUAAACCUGGGAAAAAGACUAGCGAAUACAUAUACAUUAUGGUGACAAUGGUAUUUUUUUCUACUAAAACCUGAAUGGUUUUCUUCUGUGUGCUCAGUUAUGGAAGGUGAGGCUUAUGAAUUUCUUCAUGCUUUGUAAUGGGUUCAAUAGUUUUAGAUUGUAUUAUUUGAUUUCGAGUUGGACUCUAAAUAUGUAGUUGAUAUGUAAUGCUCCAAUUUUCACUGUAGUUUUUCUUUUUUUUAAAUCAAACAUUUCUCAAAAAUCUUUUAAAGAUAAUUAAUUAACAAUGCAUUUUUACGUUAACGAAAAACUUCCAAAAUCAAACUUUUUUAUUUCAAAUGUUAAUUACAUAAGUUAUAUAAUAAAACAAACAAGGGUUAUCCCUUAACAACUGGGUACCAUUGACCCCCUAGCUACAUUAAACUAUUUACACUGAAAUGACAAUCAAAGCCACGAUUCUGCUAUACCUUCAACGUCAUUCCGAACUCUCCACAAAAGAAUCCUCAUAAUCUGAGACGUUCAACCCAGUCCACAACAAGUAAAAGGUCACCAAUCGAAAUUAACACAUAACAAUUAGAAAUUAUAAAACAUAAGCUAAAAUUAAUACAUCAUAUAUAUUUUUCAUAGUAUCAAACAUGACUCGUGUGUCAAAGCAUCUUAAUGCAAUGCAUAUAUGUCAGUGCAUAUGAUUCUAAAACAUCACCUCGCCUCCGAAAGGGUGGUGGAUCACCGUCUAACACGAUCUACAAUUAUGAAGUCUCAAAGGACAUUCACGACUCCAAUUCUAAUUCUGUAAUUGUGGGCUCAAACUAAUUAUGGAUACACUAUGUGACUCCAUCAAAUUAUGUAUCCCAUUGUGAUUUCGACCAAUUAUGAACGUCAUGUUACUAUAUAUGCAUACACUUAUAUAUAUUUACUCCCACAUAUAUGACCGACAAUGCAUCACACCAUAAUCAUCAUGUCAUAAGGCAUUAUGCAUAAUCAUAUUCAUUAUUAAUAAGGACACCGAUGUAUUAUUCAAGUAAGCAUCAAGAAUAAUAACAUAAACACCAAGUAAUAACACCAAUUAUCAAACACCAAGUAAUAGUACAAAUACUAAAAUACCAAAGUAAAACACCAAAAACAAGUAUAAGCUAAAUAUAUUUUACUAAAAAGGGGAAGACACCCUUACCUCGACGACAUUUUAUUACACAAGAAACUUACUCUAGGUCAGUAUAACUUAUCCGACGAUUCCAACGAUACCUCUUAUUCCUUGUACCUUAAACCAAUCAAUAGACUUAAUCAAUAAAAGUUUCUAAAAUAACUCUCAAAUGAACUUUAGGUUCGACUACUAUCCAAAUCUCUAACUUGUUAGUAGAUGAUGGACAUUGAAGGUUCAAUUUACAUUCAUUUUCGACACAUAAAAACAUCAAAAUUAAUAUAAAAUCUUAUAAAAUCCUUCCUAGCUAGCUGCCCACUUAGAAACACAUUAACAAAAUGUACUCACCUAAGCUUUCAUUAGUCUUUUAUUUCUUGUUGUUAUUUACUAAUAACUUUCUUUGUUUUCAGAUAUUUGAUUAUCUUUAUAACUUGCAGUAACAAGAUCCUUAAUCACAUUCUUCUAUUAUUUGGUAUUAAUGCUAUAUACUAUAUACACAUCAGUUACUCAUCAAAAAUAUAUACUUUUUUUUCCUCCACUGUGAAUCCAAUAUUUCAACAAUGAACUUGUAAUAUGAAGAAUAAAUUGUGUAUACAUAAGAAAAAACUAAUGUUUAUGCUCACCUAUUUGCAAGCAUGUCACUAAUAUCUUUUAUUGUUUUUAUUUGUUAUAGUUGUAAAAAUAAUAAAAGUGAGAAUAGUUUUAGUCUUUUAAAAAAAAUAUUUUACGAAGCAGAUCAAAACAUAAUUUAAAGAUAAAAAAACAGUUUUUACGAAGCAAAUCAAAACAGAACUUGAAGAUAAUCACCAAAUAAAUUUAUGAAAAAUAGAACUUGAAGAUAAAAACAGAACCUGAAGAAUGAGCUGAAAAGAACAAGUCUUUAGUUGUCCGUAUCAAUUGCCAAAAAUUGAAACCUAAAAAAUUCAAAACUGAAAUGAAACGUAUCAGAUGCAAACAAGAAGCUCCAAGAAGGUCACACAUUCACUGCCAAUUUAAAGAUUGAUUUUACUUACACUUCUAAUCCUCUAAAAAGUGAUAGAGGAUUCACCGAGCAGAAGAGAAUGUUGGAGAAACUUACGAUUGGCUGAAUUAGAGGGGUGACGUAACUGUGAAAGGUAGGGUCGAAUGAGUCGAAAUUGUGGCGUAAAAAGGAAACGGUGGUGUUACGACAUGAAACGGAACGGUGGUGAAACAAUGGUACGUGGUGAAACUGUGGUGAAUAGGAUUUUAGGGAUUUACAUGAAAGUGUUAGUGUUGACUUCUGAAUUUUAAAGGUUUCAGAUGGAAAAGAGGGAAUCUGAAAGAAAAGAGCGAAUCUAAAAAAAGAGGGAAAAUGAAAACGAGCGAAAAUGGAAAAGAGGGAGCACACUUAUUAUAAUGUUAGCCACAUUCAUAACCGUGACAAAUUUUUUUAAGUUAUCUACGGUCAUCGUGAUCGUGGCUAAGUAACCGUGGCUAAUCGCCAGUUUUCUUGCAGUGAUACUCCUUUUGGUAUACAUCAUAAUUGGUGUUAAUAGCAAUUCCAGGAUCAUUGAUCACAAUGUAUUUGAUGCCAAUGUUGUGUAUUCUUUCCAAAAAAUUUAAAAGCUUUGGAAGAGGCUAGUUAAUUGGAUUGAUUCUUUUCAAAAAUUACAUCAAGUGGGAUUUUGGCCUUCUCUCUUGUAAUAAUCCAUGUAUUUCAAUUAUGAGUGUGUACAAGAAAAAUAUAAUUUUUAGCGUUUGGAUUUAGAUAUUAAAAUUUACGAUUUGAAGAUGAAAAAAUUGGGUUUGAAGAAGAAGAUUGUUAAAUUUUUAUUAAAAAAAUUUGGGAGUUCAAGAUAAAAAUAUUUGAGUUUUUAUUAUUUAAAAUUGAUUUAUUAAUUAAUUAAUUAGUUUUAAGUUUUUAUGAUUAAUUGAGUUAAUAAAAUGAAUUUUAAUUUUAAAUAUUAAAUAUUGUCUAGUCAACAACAAUCAUGUGCCGCUUCAUCUAAAAGUAGUCAUGUCCCAAUUUUUUACUGAAAAAGAUUUACAAAAUAUCUUUUUAAAACUUGUUACAAUUUACAAGAGUAUAAAUUAAAUAAAUAAAAAAAUUACCGUGACUAAAAUUAAAAUAAAACAUAUUUGCAAGUAUAAAAAAUAUAUUUAAAUCAAUAUUAUUUAAGUAUCUUGUAAUUUUAUGGCACAUUAUUUUGUUUAGUCACUGAAUUCAUUAUUAAAUGAGUCAUAUGUACUUCACAAAUAAAUUUCUCAGUAACAUAAAAUUUUUAUAAUAAAUUUACGAAUAAACUUUUAUCCUACAAAAGUUGUCCUUAUGUUGAAAUAUAUUGAGAUUAAAUUCUAAUGAAAUUCUUAUUAUUAUAGUCAAUAUAUAAAAUUCUCGAUUAAAUAUUAAUGUCAUUCAAAGUCUGUCAAAAUUUAAAUAACAAGUAAAUCUUGUCUUUUUUCUUAAGAAAAUAAUAGAAAAUUAUUUUUAAAAUUUUAACAAUACAAUACAUUCACAUAUCAUUUAACAUAAAAAAAGAAAAAGAAAAAAAAAACCAAACAAUUUUUCAUAAACCAAUUAGCAACUUAAACACAAUUACAAUAAAUUUUGGAAAUGAAUAUACAAUGUAUACAGAUGAAAAUAAACAAUAUAAUACACAAAUAGACAAAAAGCUCUAAUUUUAUAUAAAAUUAGAGAUUUUGUGUGAUAAUUUCAUCAAGCUCAAGAUGUUUUAGAGUUUAGUGCAAUUCUAUCUUAAAUAUUUUGAUAUUUAAUAGUUUAAAUAUUUAUUAUUAAAAAAUUUAUAUAAUAAAAAUUAUACAUACUUUUUUUUAAAAAAAAUUCAAAAAUAAUAUUUUAAAAAAAACUUGUUAAAAAAGUUUUUAAUUUUAAUUAAUUUUAAAAUUUUGUGAUUGAAAAAUAAUUGUAACAAUCACUUGAAAUACAAUAUUUUAAAAAAAAUCCAUUCGAAAUUUUAUUUUAAAAAGAAUUGUAACAAUAAAUUAUAAACUAUGAUUUUUUUUAUAUAAAUCGUAAUAAACGGAGCCAUUUUAUUGCCAUUAAUAAAAUGCUAUAAACAAUUUUAUGUUUAAAAAAAACUUCAUUUAAAACAGAGUGAUUCCAUAUUUUUUGGGCACAGAUCCAAUGUUUUAGUAGAAACUUAGUAAUAAGAGCUUACAAUAGCUUAAUAUUGUAAAUUCAAAACCAUGAUUCACAUCAAAUUAUGUAUAGAAGAUUCACUAUACUUAAUAAUAAUUUCUAUUACUUCAAUUUUUAUGUUUUUAAAAAUUGUGUUGCACAAAAACAUAAAUUUAACAAAGUAAACUUCUGAUGCUAUGAUGAAUGAAGGAUAAUUAUAGCAUUAUUACAACAAGGUUCAAACUUCAAACUACAAAAUAGAUAAUAGUACAUAAUACAUAAUUAUACAUUUCCCUCUCACUUCUAGAUAUGAGGGAAACGCAACUUAUUUUUAAAAAAAAGUGCGUUUGCUAAAAAGCCAAAUUCAAGAAAAACAAAUCACAACAUUAUUGAAAUAUAGCAUAAUUAAUAUAACUAAUAAUCUCAGUGACGAUUGGUUGGGAAAUGAUCUUUGUCUUUAUCAUCAUUUGCCAUUCCAAAGGUUUGUUUUACAGCAUCAGUUGCACCUUGGGCCAUACCCUUAACCUUUUCUCCAGUCUGCUGCAAAAACCCAGCUGAAUUGUCUUUUCCUGAUUGGGCCGUUUCCUUAGUGGACUGGCCCAUUUCUGACCCCUUUUCUUUUGCUCGACCAGUUGUGUCUUGGGCUUUUUCUUUUGUUGCCUGGGUUGUCUGUUGGGUCUUAUCCUUUGCUGCUUGGGCUGUUUGUUGGGUCUUUUCCUUUGCAGCUUGGGCUGUCUGACUGGUUUUGUCUUUGGCGGUUUGGGCUGCUUGCUGGGCUUUUUCCUUUGCAGCUUGGGCCUUAUCUUCUAUGUUGCCAAUCAUUUGGUUGGUCUUUUCCUGAUCCACCAAUCCAAUUUAUUUAUCAUAUAAUUAAUCUUUUAUUUUUCAUAUAAUUAAAUAAAACAUAAAUUAAAAUUAAUAUAUAGACUAGUGGUAAUAUUUUUAAUCGGAUAUUGUGUUAAUUUUCAUGCUAUGAAAAAUCAAAACUAUUUAUGUGUGAAAUAAAAAGUACAGAGGGUGGAAAGCCAUGCUCAUUGCCCCUCCCUCCCAUCAUUACAACCCAUCAUAUAAAAAGUUAUAUAAUGUGCAUAUAAACUACAAUAUAAUAUAAUAAUAUAUAUUAACAAAAUUAUUAUUAUUAUUAGAUUAUAAAAAACGUAAAUCAUGAGUUACUUUACUUAAGUAAAUAUAAAUAAUAAAUUUCAUUGAAUAAAAAUGAACAUAUGAUAAAUUUUAAUUUUUUUUAAAAAAUUGUGCUUAAUUAUAAAUAUAUUUUAUUAAUAAUCAAUAGUUAAAUUAAUCGAUAAACUUACUCUAAGUCAAGAGAUACUCAUUCAUUAUUUGACCUUUAGAGAGUAUAUAUUAUAUUGUUCUCAAUAUAAAAAAAAAAAACAAUAGUUUUAAUAUGUAUUAUGUAGAAUUAAUUUUUUCAAGCCUCUCAUCUAACAGAUUUUUAAGUCCAUCCUUAAUUUAAAACCAAAUAUUUUUUAAGAUCUAAUAGUUAUGAACUUAUGAUUAAUGACAUUGUUUUUUUACACAGGUAAAUUAAAAUAAAUAAAUAAAAGGAAAAGGAAAAAACAAUAAGUUCUAGGUUGCAUGAAAUAAAAUAUAUAGAAAUGAAUAUUGAAUAACAUUUGUUAUACCUCAGUUCUGCCCUUAGCUUCACCAGCUCUGUAGCUUUGGUCGUGGGAUGUCAUUUUUCUUCUUCAAAGGGUAUAAUUAAUUCACUCACUAGCUAUGCCUAUAUGAUAAAAACUUUCUUUUUAUGAAUAUCUCAAGCACUUUCUAUUUUUGUUAAUGGUUUUGAAUUUCAUUCAUACUCUAUUUAUAGUAUUUCGUGAAUCGUGUAUGUUAGCCACGUGUUUAACUUGUUGACAUGUGUAAAACACGUGUUGCUCCAAGGCUAUGGUUAUAAAGUUGAGUACCAUUUAUAAAUAUUAAAUGAGGAUUCGACCUGUGGAAUUUUGCCACGUUCCCAUUACUUGAUUAUUUUUACUAUUAUAUAUAAUAAUAAUGACGAGAUAUCCAUGAUUUUUUUUGUUAUAAGAUAUCCGUGAUUUAUAUAUGAGGUGCAAAUACAAUGUAUUUACUUUUUUUAGGCAAGACAAUGAAUGAAUUCAUGAUUAUAUGAUAUCAAACCCUUAUGCACAAAUAUAAAAUUAUUUUGAUUUUUAAAAUAUUUUGUAUGAUAAUUUAUACAAUAUAACUUUUUAAUAAUGAAAAAGUUAUAAAAAAGUAAAAUAAAAUAAAAUGAUUGAAAGAGAUUAAAAGAAAUUUAAAUUAAAAGAAUUUAUAUUUAUUUUCUAAUAUUAUACUUCAUAUUUAAUUAAUAUUUAGACUAAUAUAUCCUCCAAAUGAUGAAUGAGUUACUUGGUAUUGUUGGAGUCAACGAAUUCUCUCGAUAUGACUUAUAAGUGAUGAUUAUAACUAUUAGAGGUGGACAUCGGGUCAGUUUCGAACAGUUUCAGGCCAAAACAGUAAAAUCGGUUCAAUUCACGGGUGUUAUCUGCUAGCCCAAUCUCAUCCAUCUUUUUUGUUCGGAUCAUGGGAUGUCAGUUGUGUUAUGGUGGGUGGGUAAAAACGGGUUGAGUUUUAUUGGAUCAUUUUUUUUCAUUUAAUUUUAAAAAAGUCUGGAAAAAUAUAUAUGGUCAUAGUUUGUUAUAUAUAAUACAACUAUGGUCCAUUAAAAAAAAUUGACCCAAUCUAUCAAUCAUACAUCACAUUUGUUUUAUAUCUUCAAAUUUUUUAGAUCACACUUUUUUAUAAUAUCAAUCGAAGUUUUGUUGUAUCAUUGUUCUCAAACACAUGGCAUUUAUCAUUAGCCACAUAAAGUCUAAGUCUAAUAUUAAAUUACGAAUUCAUCAGCAACAUAAAUCACAGUCACGUGACAACACAAUCAUACAAAUUACAUCCUCAAGUAUAAAUUACAUAAUGAUCAACUUAAUUAAAAUUCUAUAUUAAUCAAAGGAAGAUAAUAAUGUUGCACCAUGAGGAUUUACUGGGUGAUUUCAGCAACAUAAACAUUUCUUCUUCUGCGCACAUAUAAUACAAAUUAGAAGAGAGAAAAAAUUGCAGAACAAAAUAACAUCAAUGUUCAAAUUAGAAAGAAUUAGUGAUGUAACUACUCAAUAUAUUAUUAUACCACAUUCGGUAGAAAUCGUUGAUAAUACACAACAUAUAGCUAACCUAACAGAACCUAUUAAUUUGUGUAUGGAAUUAAAACUUGAGAGGAGUCGGGGAUAUCGUAUAAAAACACUAAACAACAUUCAAGACGAAAGUUAUACUAUAAAUGUUGUAUUCAUGCAUAUGUUCAAAUUAGAAAGAAUCAAUGACAGUUGUAGAACAUAUUAACAUCACUUGGUAAAAAACAUGUAAAACACAUUAUAUAUAAUCAAACUAAUUCAACAACAAAAUUUGUAGAAAAAUACCUCAAGAGCAUUGAGAAGUUUGUUUCAGUUUUGUUGUGUUUUGUUCUCAUAACAGUGAGACAUCUAUAUUUUGUGACAUCUAUGUUUUAAAUUUUAAACAAAUAACUAAAUUAAGUAUUCAUAUGCAUUGCAUACCCAACAAUUGAAUUGUAAUAAAGUUGAAAAAUAUUAAAUUACAUAUAUUUUCUUUUGUCAAUUUUGAUCCAAUGCCACGAAAGUAGAAGUUGAUCCAAAUAUAUGGUAAGCUGGUCCAAUGCCACAAAAGUAUGAGUGAGGUGGUUUGUAAUUUAUUAUAUUGAAGUUAUGCAGUAAAAUGACAAUCAAAUCAAAACUUACAAAUAAAUUCUCAUUAGUGCAAACAAUAGCAAAGUCCUUUAAAAAACUUUUUGCUCCAUCUUAUUCAACUGGUUCAACAACAUAACUUGCAAAAUUAAAUCAUAAAUAAGUCAAAAGAAGAUUGAAAUCAUUUAUAAUAAACUAAAACUAAAUGAAGCGCCUUACCCACGAAGCUUUUUUGUUCCAAAAAGAUAUGGCCAACUUGUCUCAAAAUCUAUAAUUAUCUCUCAAAAAAUAAUAGUCGGCUACUUGCUAUGCUAUGAUUGAUUAUGAGUCUUGUGUGACUCCAAAAAAUAAAAAUAAAAAGGCCACCUAUAAUAAAUAAAAAACUGAACAUAAUUAAAACAAUAAAACUAAUUAUAAUUAAAAAAAAACAUAAUUAUGAAAGGACAAACAUAAAUUGGACCUUCAACAAUUUAAACAUAGCCUGAAGGUUGUGACUGAGAGGAAGGUAAUGAGCCACUUCCAGCUGAGCUCCAUUUAAAUCUAUGAUACAUUAAAAAAACAGCGAAUUAUCAUGUUAAACACAUAUAAACAUUACAAAUGACAAUGAAUAUAAUUUUUUUUGGAAAAGCAGCGCGCCUACUAGUACUUUCUCUGAAAUUUCAUACUCCUCAUCAAAUAUGAAGUCUUUAAAUUGGUAAAAACACGGCUUCAACAAAUUUUGGGUGCAUAUUAGAGCCUCUGCCCUUUCUAGAUUUAGAGAGCUUCUAUAUACCUCUAAAACUUUACCCCAGUGCUGAAAGCACUCUUAUAAGCCACAAUAGAAACUGGUUUAGGCAUGAUUUCUCUUACCAUUCUAGACAAAAUUGGAUUCCAACAAGCAUUAUGUUUCCACCAUAUUAGAAUCUCAAACUUUUCUACAAACUCUAUACAUUUCUCAUUAGUGUGCCUCUCAAGUUCAUUUUCAACAUCAAUUGAAUCCUUUUUCUUUAAAUGUUUUUGAAACACAUUUUUCCGUUGUAAGUGUGCGCUUGUGUGACCAACAUCAGUUGUUUCAAAGAGGGAAACAAAUGCACCAACACUAGAAGAUAAAGCCUUAGAUGUUUUAUCAUAAGCAUGCUUAUACAAUUUGUAUACUUUAAUAAGAUUAUCAUUUAUCCUUGUCAAUAAAUUUUCUUUUAAUUGGUUUAUCACCAUACAUAUCAUUGAAGCAUCAUUCCAGAUACCUUAACUUGUAUCAGAGAUCUAAAAUAACACCAAAGUAAAGGAGUUGCUUUAUGUUAGAUUCAUUGCCCCAAUACUUGGUGUACUUUGUCAACAUUUGUUUGCCCAUUGAUGCUAAAAAAGUGUUGAGGUCUAUGGAUGAACGCUUAAGUUCAAUAAAGAUGGAAGCUAAUUGGUGAAAAGUCGCAUGCAAACUUGUUUGUUGUGAGGUUGAAAAUAUUUUUGUUGUGUCAUAAAAAUACUUCAAAAACUGAAUAAAACACUUGCUUUUUUCCGAAUCAUUAUUAAUGGAUGGAGAAGCUUCUACAAAGUAUUGCCUAUAGCUUGAAUCUUCAUCUUCAAGCUUAUCAAAGGCUAGUUUAAAUUUUACAGUUGCUUCCAACAUCAAAUAUGUUGAGUUUCACCUUGUUUGAACAUCAAGACACAACAAUUUAUUGCUUGCAAUUCCAACAAAUUAUAUAUAUUACUUAAAUUUUGCAGUCAUUUGUGGUAAAGAUCUUACAAACCUCACAACAUGUCAAAUGGAAGAAAUUGAAGAGUCGAAGUCUUUCAAUCCUUUAGUCACCAUUAUAAAGUUGAGUAUGUGAGCACAACAUCUCAUAUGAAAAAAAGCUCCAUCCAAAAGUAUCCCAUUCAUGUUUUUCUUUUUUAAUCUUUUUCUUCAAUAAUCCUACCGCGAUAUCAUUUCAUUAUGCAUUACCAACUAUGACGGUAGACACAUCUCUAAGUCUCCAUUCCCUCAUCAAGAUUUUAUAGCCACUAUCUCACAUCUAUGAUUUGGAACCACACAAAAGCUAAUGAUUCUUUUUUGGUAAUUCCUCUCAUUAUCAAUAAAAUGGGUUGUGAGGGUCAAAUAAUUAAGAUUUUAAACAGAAGUCCAACAAUCUGUAGUAACAACCACCCUACUACAAUCGAACUUGAAGAACCAUUUCAACCUCAUUUUUCAUCUAAAUACAACUGAAAACAAUAUCUUGCUACAAUAUGUCUUGAUGGUAGGGUAAAUUGGGGCUGCAAUUGAUUACAUAAGUACUUAAAUCUCUUCCCUCAACUGUUUUAAAUGGUUGCUCAUCCAAAAUGAUAAAAACAACCAAUGUUUUUCUACAUGCUUAAGCAUUAAAUCCAGAGCUUAUUACAACAAAACUAUACCCCUCACUUGUUCGAAGUUGUAAAAUAGUUUGAUCAGGAUCAGUUGCUACAUUUAAAGGAUAUUUUGUGCAUCUUUUUAUGUGAUGCUUCAUAUUGGAAGUACCAUGUUUCUUACCUUCACAAAAACACUUUUGAUGGCAGUAUUUGCAAGCAGCAGUUCGAAUUUCACAAUUAGGAAUUUCAUUAAAGUGGUCCCAAACCUCAUAAGUUUUUCUAGAACCUCCUGCAUUGCCUUUUCUCUUCUUCCCAACUAGAGGAAGAGUAAUUGCAGGCGCAAAUUGUUCAAUAGGUUGAUUAUUAGCUUCAAUAGGUUAGUCAAGAGAAGUAUUAGGCGAAGGCGACGCCAUCACUGAAACAUAUAUGAUUGUUAUGCUUAAGUAUAGUUAAAGUUUAAAAUAUUAUGUUUUUAAUCAAAAGUUUAAUUUGAUAAAGUUUUCAUAAUUAAUUGUUAAAUUUUUUCUAUAUAAUACAUUAUCAUCCAACUCUAAGUAUUUUGUGUGAUCUAUUAGUGAAUUUUGUAUAUGAAACAACUCAGAAGUUUUGGUUAAUCAACAAUUUUAUUUUUUGGUUAAUCAACAAUUUUGUAUAUGAAACAACACAUUUUGUUUUUUAAUUAACAAUUUUAUUUGUUUAAGCCUUAUAUAUAUAUAUAUAUAUAUAUAUAUAUAUAUAUAUAUAUAUAUAUAUAUAUAUAUAAACUAAUUGACUAGUUAUUCACUUGUUAUUAUAUAAAAUUCAUACAAACUCAAAAAAGUUCAGCCCAUAAUCAAAUUUUUUUAGCAUAGCAUAAAAUUACGAGUUUGUGAAUUUUCUACGAAAUCAACAUGUGAAUUUUCUUAAAUUCAUUCAAACAAAACCACCAUGUGAAUUUUCCAAAGGAAACAACUUUUUCAUUGAGUGAUGGAUAGAAUUAAAUUCAGUUUAGUUCUUAACUAAAAUAAGUAGUUCAAUUUUUUAAUGGCAGUUUGGUUUAAAAAAAUUAUUUGAACACCAUCACUCUUAAUCAUAACACAUAAUCUAAAAAACAAUGUAGUCUAAAAAAUCAGAUUAUUAGCAUAGACUUAAUUACCAACUGUAAAGAGAUUUAAGCAAGAAACCUAAUUACCAUAUCACAUGAAGCAUAUUAUUAGCACGCACUAGACAUAGACAAGUUAAAUUAUUCUAAAAAACUAUGUAGUCUAAAAAUAACAUACACAAUAUCAUUUUAACAAGUUGAUUAACAAAAUAUUUGCAAUGUGUUUAACUUACAACUUUCUGGUCUAGCUAGCUCCUUGCAUACACCUGCCUCAUUGGCCUUGCUUUAUUAUUCCAAAUCAAAAAAGUUCAAAAAACACUAAGUAAGUAUUGAACAGAAUCUACAAUCUAGCAAUAUUUAAUUAUAAUGAGAUAAACAUGAAUCUAAAACUAAACAUAAUAAACAAAUCAAAUAUCAAUAUAAAACUACAAAAUAUAAACAAAUCAAACAUGAAUGUUAAACUAAAAAAAAUAAACAAAUCAAACAUGAAUGUAAAAAUACAAAGAAUAAACAUGUCAAACAUGAAAGUAAAAAGUAAAACUAAAAAGAAUAAAUAGAGCAAACAUGAACAUAAAUUCAGGAAACGUAACUUACAACCUUAAGAACUCAUAUUAACUUAAUCCCUAGAAAGGCACAAACUUACUUAAAAAGAAUAAACGUAUCAAACAUGAACAUCAAACUAGAAACCAAAACUCAAAAAUUCCAAGAACAUAAUAAACCUUAAAAUAGAAAGAAAGAAAGAAAAAAAAAACAAGAUUGUAAAAUAGUAAUCUACAAAAAUAACAAGUAAAAAAACUGUAAAUAACUACAAAUGUAAACUAAUAAAAGAAACAUUAUAAGAAAUCCUAAGAAACUAACCUUAUCUAAAGGUUCAAUAGAGAAAGGAAAUAUGGACAAACUCUAUCUUAUCAGUACUUAAACAUAAUGAAAACAUCAUAAAACAAAUAUUAGUGAAAAAAGAUCAAACCCUAACAUAAAAUAGUAACUUCAAUGAGAAUAACAAAUCAAAACAUAACACAAAAGCAUAUAAUACAUUUCAAGAUUAACAUUGAAUAAUGAAAGAACAAUUUUUAAGAUAAACAUUGAAUAAAUUUUCUAAGAUUGGAGAGUUAGAGUUUAGUAAAAAUUUAAAAGGAGACUUUCCAGAUAGAUUUUGUUGCACGUUUGUAGGCUAAGAUGAGACAGCGGCGAGGGUGACUACAAAAAUAGUUACAGUGGCGAUGGUGACCGUGACAAUGAACAACAGAGAUUCAGAAAAGACCGUUUGAAUCGAGAGAGAGAGAGAGAGAGAGAGAGAGAGAGAGAGAGAGAGUGAGGUGGGAGUGAGUAAGUAUGUUGAAAUUUGAUUUGAAGUGGGUGUUAAUUGGACUGCGGGAAUGUGCGUUAAUUGAGCUUUUUUUUUAAACAAAAAAUUUCUUUGGACCAGGUUGUGGUUGUGUGAGUGUAUGAGUAAUAGUAAUAUGUGCAAUUUACAUAUUAAUAUAUAAUAUAAAAAUAAUAAUAUAAUUAAAUGAAUGAAUUCAGUCGGGUUCGGGUACCGAGGAAUCCAAAUUACCCAUCUGAACCCGACACCCUUUAUUUUUCACAUGCCUAAGCCACCAACCCGAAGAAACUCGUCCACAAACUUAAAUCUUUUAAUGGAUUGGUCGGGUCUAGAUAUGUUGUCCACCCUUAUUACCUAUUAAUAUAUCUAUAUUGCUUUUAUUACAAAAUACUAGUACUAAAUAAUUAGUUAGUGAUAAGUCAUAACUAUUGCCAUGCGAACAAGACAAUUAGAGAGUUUGUUGUAGGAUUGUAAUAUGAUACAUGUAUUCCAUCCUCUUAAUAUACUCCUUCUUCUAAGUAUAUAACAGAAAUUGACUUGUAAAUUAAUCAUAAGAAUAUAUUCAUUUUCUGGUAAUUUAUAAGGUAUUUUUCUUUUCGUGUUUCCACUUAUAUGGUCUGUAUGCAGUUAGUUCCAUUCAUAAUCAUAUAUAUUUUGUUAGUAUUGUUAAUGAUCAUAGUAGGUAUAUCUAGGUUUUUUAAUUGAAAGGUAAGGAUGAGGUUCAGUUGCAUGUUCAACAUUUUGUUAGUAUGGUUGAAAAAUUAUUUGGUAAAUUUGUUAAAGCAAUUCGAAGUGAUAAUAGUCUUGAAUAUCUCAUGUCUUCUUAAUAUGGUAGUAAACGCAUUUUACAUCAGUGCAGUUGUGUAGAAACUCUGCAACAAAAUAGGAGUUAAGAGAAAACAACAAUUUAUCUUGAGUGUGGCUCAUUCUCUCAUGAUUCAAUCCCCAUUUCCUAAAAAUAUUUUUCAAGCUAUUUAUCUUACUAAUAUGGUCCCUACACAGGUGCUACAUAACAAGUCUCCCUAUUUGUUACUAUAUGGUCAACUCUUUGAUUUAUUUAUAGUCAAAUUCUUUAUGUCCUUAUGUUGUAUCAAUAGUUUAGUACCUCAUAGAGGAAAAUUUGACACCAGGGCCCACAAUUUUGCUUUCUUAGGGUUUAAACCUGGCCUGAAAGGUUUUGUUGCAUAUGAUAUUCACACUAAAUCCAUUCACAUCUCACGAAAUGCUAUUUCAAUGAGUCCAUAUUUCCCUGUCAUUCUAUUACCUGGACAUUAUCUUACUCUAGUUGAGAGUAUUUAGUAAAUCUUCACCUACACUAGUGGUCCCUAACAAGCCUGCUCCUCUCACAUGUCCUUGUCCUACACCCGACCCUAACACUAUUUUAUCACCUCCCUCUAUUUAUCAUUAUCUUGACGCUACCCAAUGUCCAACUUAUUUCCGUAACCUGGACCUCACCACUACACCUAACAUUCCCCCACAUCAUAAAGUCCCUUCCCACUUAAAUGACUAUAUUUUCCUUACUUUUCAAUCUUUUAUACCUCAUCCCAUUAGUUCUUACUUGUCCUAUGAUUCUUUGUCCCCUUCACAUAUAACUUUUGUCUUAUCCCUUUCUACCAUGACCGAAUUUGCCUCUUACAAUCAAGCCAUUUCAAAACCAAGAUGUAUUACUGUCACGGAGUUACCCUUUAUUCUGGUGUUAAACCCAUAAGCAGUAAGUGAGUUUAUAAGAUCAAGCGUAGGGUGUCAAUUAAUUUGAUACAUUUUCUCUCGUGGAUAAACUAACCAUAGUUGGACUUUUGUUGGCCCUUUCUUCUAUUAAGCAUUGGCAUGCUCAACAAUUGGAUGUGAGAAACACUUUUCCAAUAAAGUUUUCAAGCUUCUCAAAUCAAUUUGUGGCCUUAAACAAGCCAAUCAAAAAUGGUAUGAAAAACUCAUUCAUCUCUUGACUACUCUUAGUUACAAACAAGCUUUUGUUGACCACUCUUUGUUCACUAAAUAAUGUGUUGAUUCUUUCAAUGCUUUGCUCAUUUAAGUGGAUGAUCAUGUACUAGUUGGGAGUUCUAUCUCUGAAAUUUCUUAUAUUAAAUCUACCUUGAACAAAAGAAUAUGGAAUCAAUGAUUUGAGGGUGCUUAAGUUUUUUCUUGGGUUGGAAAAUGCUUAUUCUUCUCUUGGAAUUUCUCUUUGCCAAUGUCAACAUUGUCUCGAUCUUCUCAAAGAUGUUGGUGUCCUUGGUUGUAAACCAGCUCCAACACAUUUGGAUCCCUAUCACAUGCUACAUCUUAAUUCCAACCCUGCCUAUUUCGACAUCAUGUGUAUUGUCGUUUGGUUGGUCGUUUGUUGUACCUUACGACUACUCAUCCUAACAUCUCUCAUGUUGUGCAACAACUUAGUCAGUUCCUCAACAAGCCCACUGAACGUCAUUAUAAGGUUGCCCAACGCAUCUUGAGGUAUCUCAAGGGAUCUCUUUGUAAAGCCUCUUUUUCCCAUGAAGUUUUGUCCUUCAGUUAUAAGGUUUCUCUAAUGUUGAUUGGUGCGGUUAUCCUGAUUCUCGUCACACUAUCAAUGGCGAUUGUUUUUAUCUUGGUGAUUCCCUUGUUUCAUGGCAUUCUAAGAAACAUGUAAAUGUUGUUCGUUCGUCUUUUGAGGUUGAGUAUUGAGCACUUGUAGCUGUUACAUGUGAAUUACAAUGGUUACAAUAUUUAAUGGAUGAUCUCCAUGUUUCUUCUACACACUCAUUUGUUCUGUUUUGUGAUAGUCAGAGUGUAUGGCUAACCUUGUGUUUCUUGAAUGAAUUAAGCACCUUUAGAUUCUAGACUUUGGAAAUUUUUCUUUUCUUUUGUCUAAAAUGCACUUCCCAAUGUUUAAAAAAAGAAUAUGCAAUCGAGAAGACAACUGCAACAAAAAGGUAAAGAUAGUUGCAUAUAUCAUUUUUCCCAUUUUAAGGAUGUAAAUAAAUAUCGCAAAAAAUGAUUGCGAUGAAACACCGUUUUUAUGAAGAAAAAAAUUCGAGGUUCCAUUUUUUUCAACUCAAAUGAAAAAAAAAAAUACAUUUUUAAAAUGUAUUUAGACACUAAGAUAUCUUUUUCUCUAGUUCUGAAUUUCUCUCAUAUCUCAACUAGUAUUAUAUAUUAUAUGAGAAUAUAAAUAAUUUUAAUAAUAUUUAUUCAAUGUUGUGAUUAAUUCACAUUGCGAUAACCACACUCCAUAACACAAUAUUUAUAAUAGUUGAAACUGCAAAUUUUUUGACACAAUCGUAAAUGUAAUCGUGACUGCUAUUUAAAACCUUGUAACUCUACUAUGAAUUUGUUGUUGUGUUUGAGUGGUAGGAUUGCUUAUGUUGCUCUUUUUGUCAAUGAAAGUGUAGGGCAAAGUUGAAAUAUUGAUAAUUUGUGGUGGUAUAUGAGGACUACGUUGAAGUAUACAAAAUAAAAUUUUCCCUUCAACAUCAUAAAUUUAAUACCAUGUUUAACAUUUUAGAGUAGGCCCAUUGCGAGUAUGUGGGCCAGUCCAUUAUAAACUUAGGGAAUAAAAAAUCUAUUUGGUACUCCUCAGCUAAUCCCUUACACCCUCCACAAAUUUAGUAAUAUUACAAAAUAGUUCUUCAAUAAUUUCGAUAAAAAUUUAAUUUACAAUACUUUUUAGAAAAAAUCCCACCAGUGAGUAUUUUCUUAAAUAAUUUAUAUUUAUAUUUUUUAAAUUUGAAAAAAAAAAAUUUAAAUCGUGUUUACAUUCCAAAAUUUUUAAAAUAUAAAAAAUUCAAAAUUGCCAGGACUUGUGCUUAUAUUGUUUUUACUUCAAAUGUUUUUGAACCUCAGACCACAAGUUUGAUUUUCUUUCUGUUGUCUAGGGUUGUACGUCUUGAGUUUUAGAGGUCCUCUCGUACAUACAAGUUGUUACGAGAUUUGAAUUUUGACUUCAUUUGUUAGCUAUUACAAUUUUAAAUAGAAAAGUUAUAAUUGAGAGAAAAUUAAUUACAAAUAAAGAGAUCAUUUUUCAAAUACAUCAAUUGAUACUUAAAAUUUAUAUAGCUAAUGAGUAACAAUUAAUUAAUAUAAUUAAUUAACUAUUGUUUUUGAUUUGUCAAGUACAAUUCAAUUGUUUAUGUCUAAUUAACAAACUGAUAUGUUUAGUAUUAGCUAUUAAGAAAGUUCAAAUGUUGUUAUAUAGAAAAAUAGAGGAUAACAAAAGCAAAACAAGGUGUCACCUAAAUUAAUUAAGGUCUUCUAACACUCUAAGAGGUAUGAUUUACUAUAUUUCAGUAAAAGAUACGGUUUUUUAGAGUCUAGCAGCAAAGUUCACGUAUUAAAUUUAUGAAAAAGAGAGAUAUCUUGAGUUUAAAUAUGCAUCUCAAUAUAUCAAAUGUCCUUAUAAUUAUCAUGAGUUUUUACUCACGAAACCAAUAAAAAAUUACUUUAACAAUUAUAUAAGAUAAAAAAAUAAAAUAAAACAUGACAAAAUACUAGUUGGGGAAGAUGACUUAAAUAGUUGAGUUAAAAUUCUUACUGCAUCUUCUCCUUGACAUAUUGACAUGAGUUGAUCCAUCAAUAACAAAACACAAUUAAAAAACGAAAACACAUUAAAAUAAAAUAAAAAUUCAAAACUAUUCCAUUAAAAUAACAUUAUUCAAAAAUCAAAAUAGUAUCAAUUGCUCUAUUAAACAAAACAAAUUUUUACAAGUUUAAAAGUAACAUAAACUCAAAACAUAAUCUAUCUAGCAAAAGAAAUAAGUUCAAAUUCAACAAAAUCGACUUGGUAAAAAAUAACUAAAAUAUGAAAUUUUUAUAUUGACUAAUAGGGCCAGUCAUAUACCUAUGUGUCUAAAAUUAGGAAUAUGUUAAUAAAAAAAUUAAAGAAAAUUUUAUAAAAGGAGAUAAAAUAAAUUUCUUAAAAAAAUCUUAUAUUUAUAAACAAAGUAUAUUAUUAUAAUAAACUAUAUGCUAAAAAAAAAAAUCCAAAAGGAUAGAUAUAGUUAGCAGGCAGCAAUGAGUAGCAACACAUUCAAUUGGUUGUAAAAAAGUACGCACACAAUGACACAUAGAAUCAUGCAUGGAAACGAUUCUCAAUGCAAAUAAUCGAAUCACACUCUUUAUUCUCUUCUUUACAGUUUGCCUCAAUUUUCCUUUACCCUUCCCCAAGAGAAUGGAGGCCAGAUCUUGCUUCACUACACAUUCUUACUAAUAGUACCAUUCAAGACACUAUUGUGUACAAAUAAAGUUGUGAGAGAAAAGAGAGAAUAAUUAAAAUAAUUCAGGAGCAGCCGCAGUAGUAAUGGUUUCAAAAAAAGAAUAGAAAAGAUGGUCAAAAUUAAAACCUCAAAGACUUAUAAUUCAUUCCAUCAUAAGCUCUAUCAUCUUUAUUGAAACUCACUAUUUUGCCUUUUCUUUUUUCAUUUCCUAUUUAAUUUUUUUUUUCUUUUAAAGUUGUACUAACAUUCCUAUCCUUUUAACAAAUGUGUCACAAUUAUUUAUUUAUUUAAUUUAAUGAGAUUUUCAAUUUAGGUUUUAAUGUACGGGAUAAGGAUUUAAAAAAACUCUAAAACUUAAAGGGCAUACACAUAAAUCUCUAAAUCUAAAAUUGACCUAUACACCUAAACAUUUUUUUUGUUUGUAGCUUUUUUGAGAAAUAUUUUUCAAUUUUUUUUACUAAAUAAUUUAAAAAAUAUAUUAUUUAUAAUUUUUUUUAAAUCUUAUUAAAUAAAUAACUAUAUUUUUUUCCAAAUUUUAUUUUUUUAAAAAAAUGAACUCAAAAUAUUAUUAAGUAACAAAAAAUUGGGGUGAGGAAACACGAAACCUAUACUCACAAAAAAUGAAAAUAUCCCAAGAAGGGAGUCAUGAUUUAUGGAGCUUACUAGGGAAUUUGGUAGGUGAGACUUCAUCAUUUAUACAGCUCUAGUUCACAAAUGACAAAUAGAUAAAUCUUUUAAACUAUAUAUAAUCACAAAUUCGAUUUUCAUUUGGUGUACAUGAAAGAAUACAUAUUGAGAGACGUGAGUCCUUUAAAUAAAUUUUUGUUCUUUGAAUGAUUAAUCUUUAACUUUGUGGUGGCAAUAGUUCAGACAACAAAAUAAAAGUUGCACUGAUCGGAUUUAGGUUGUUCAUAGUCAAAACACUUUUAGUCACUUAGUUAGUGUUGGAUAUGACUCGUAUGUGAUAGGUAGUGUUGCAAUAUGAACUAUAAUAUUUAAAUUCAAGUUGUAUUUUAUAAAUCUUGAAUCAUAAUAAAAAAAAGGUAUAAACAUAGACACAAUUGUCCAUCUUCGUGACCAAACAUUGUUUCUAUUAUGUUUUUGAAUCAAGAUUGUGGUUCUAUUGGCUAGAGAUCUCGAUUGUUGGGUCAAGAUUAAAAUAUUUCAUUUUUCAUUUUUUUUUAUGAUAAAAAUAUUUUAUAUUUCAACUUAACAUUAAAGAUUUAAAAUAAAAUCAUAAUAGAAAUCAUUUAAUAUUGAUUCAACAACUGAAAUGUUUAUAGUCACAAUAUGAUAUUUUGAGUGCGUGAUUUAAUUUAAAUUUCUUUAUAAGUGUUCAAUUCAUUCAUUCGACUCCACUCAUAUACCAUUGACUAUGAGCCAUAUACUCAACCUAUACAAAGAACAAGAUAUCAUAAUUUUGUUUUCUUGAAAAAAUUCAAAUCAAACGUCUCCUCCCAAUGAUUUCAUCACUUCACUUACCUUUUACUCAUUACCAUUCCUUCUACUUUUACAAGAGAAUAAAAGAAUAUUCAAAUUGAAUAAAAUAAAUGAAUAUUCAAACUUCAUGUAAAGCAUAAAGAAUUUUCCAAACAAAAUUGACAGUCAAAAUUCCAUGAAUUUUCCAAAGAAUAUAAUUGACAUGAAAGAGAUAUGGAUUCCCUCGUGGAUAUAGUCUUCUCUUUGCUCUAUGAUAUAAGUAAAAAUGAAUUGAAAAAUGAAUUAUUUAAACUUUAAAUUACAUAUAUUCACUUUAUUUUUACAAACUCAUAUAUUAAUAUUUAACUAAUUUCUACUUAUAUUAUGAGACGAAGUGAAUAUUGCUAUUCGGGGUCAUUCUAAAUGAUUUUAAUGGUACGAAUAUUCAUUACAUUGUCACAAAUUCACAAUUGCUUACCUGUGUUGUCCACUAACAAUAAUUUGGAUUCCGCAUUGCCCAAUAACAUGCUAUUAACUUUUUUUAUAAUGAUUUUUAUUUUUGUUGUAUUCAUGGAUUUUGCUAGUGGGGCAGAAAAUCGAAAUAUAUUAAAUAGUGUGGCAAAGGAAACCUUUAUAGGGUUCAUGAUUUAUUUGAUUGGUGAAAUUUUUGGACAUUGUAUGUUGUUCUAUUAGGUUGCAUGCUCUUUUUGUUGGUGUGGUGUUUGUUGACUUGGUCAUCUUGCAAGUUUCCGUCCUCAUUCGAUCAAAUUAGUUUGUGUCCAACAAUAAAAGAUUUUUAAGGUUAAAAAUAAUGUAAAUUUUUAUACAGUAGAUGUUCUUUUUUAAACGAAAUUCCCUAGAGUUUCUAGAAUAAUUUUGUUAAGGUUUUCAUAUGAUACAAAGGUACAAGUGAGUUAUAAUGGCUCUCCACUUUAGAUUUUAUUUGUUCAGUAGUGAGAGGUCCUCAUUCGAAACCUUUUCGGGCUACUGUGAUUUGGAUCGAGUCAGUUUGAAUUCAGUCCAUUAUCGUAUUGAGUUGAACCACUCUAAUAUGAGUUCGACCCAAAACAACAAUAGCAAUUAUGAGUUUAACCAACUUACAAGAUAACUUCUGCUAAUUUUAUUGCCUCAAAAAACAAAUCUACUAAUUUUACCCCACACCAUAUAUACAAUUUAGUAACAUUUGAAAAAUAUUUCUUGUUACUUUAAAAAAGUUACUAAAUUAUGGUCAAAUGUAACCAUUUAGAUUUAGCAACAUUAUAAGGUAAAACAUAUAUUACUAAAAGUUUUUAGCAACACCUUAGUGUAUCAUUAGAAACAUUUAACAAUUUACUUCUUAUGUUGCUCCAUCAGAAUUUUCCUUUGAACACAAGUUUUUUAGUGAAUUUUUUAAUGGAAGCAUUUUGUGAAUUUAGGAGUCACUUAAUUUGCUAUAUAUUACUUUAAGGGGCAAAAACUUGGAAAAAGAAUGAUAUUUUUUCAUGUAGGGCCAUCCUUUAAUUUUUCGAUCACAAUUUUUAAGAUAAGCCUCUAACUAGUCCUUCAAAUUGUGAAGUAACAUUACUAUCAUAGUGGUAUUAUUCUAAUCCCUUCCCAGACAAGAUUUUACAUCUUUGAUAAUUUUAUUAAUAUAAGAGCGCCUGUUGAUGAUUAGGGUAUUAGUUGUUGAAAUAUUUUAUUAAAUUUUAAUUUAAUUAUUAUAUUUUAGAUACAUAGUUCUUUGAAGAUAUUGAAUUUGUAGGAGAUAUAUGGUCAAAAGAACAAAAUUGAAUGAAGAAGAAUUCGUUCCAAAUCAAUUCUUAUAGUUGCUAUUAAUAUAACAAAAUUUGGUCCUCGUAAGGAUAUUAUUGUUCUUCCUCUUAAUCAAGUUAAGAAAUUAUUUAUAAAGAUCAAACUAAGCACCCUGAAAAACUAGAGCAUCAGGUGUCGGAAAUGAUUGACUAUAAAGAGAAAUUUUAUUUGGUAUUCUUGAAAGACUCUAUUAGAACAGUCAUGACACUUGUUGUUCAUUAUGAUUUUUGGAGCUACAUAAGAUGGAUGUCAAUAUAGUGUUUCUAAAAGACAACAUUUAUGAAACAAUAUGUUGCAAUCAAAGGAAACUUUAUGUCAAUAGACACAAAGUAAAUAAUUUAUAACCUGAUGUAAUUCAUCUAUGAGUUAACAAAUAAUUCUCAUUAGCGAUACCACAUUUUUCAUAAGGUAAUUAUGUCAUUUAGUUUUGAGAUGACAUUUGCAGACAAUUGUGAGUAUUAUAAGGUCAGUGGGAGUAAGUUUAUAUUUUUAAUAUAAUUUGUCAGAUUUGCUAUAUUUAUUUAAAAGUGAAGAAUUGCUAUAUUUAUUUAAAAGUGAAGAAUUGCUAUAUUUAUUUAAAAGUGAAGAAUGUUGCACGAAAUCAAGAUAUCUUUAACGAAAAUUUAGCAAUGAAAGAUCUUGCAGACGUCUCUUUUUGUAUUAGAUAUUAUGAUACUUAAAGAUCAUUCUCAUGGUAUCCUUAAGGUAUCACAAAAGUGCUAUAUCAAUAAAAUUAUAAAUAUAUUUGACGCCAAAGACAUUCUAUUGUGGAGAGUCUUAUGAAUGAUCUUAUUUAUAUCGUAUGUAUAGAUAUUGAAUUCGCACUUCAAGAAAUUCAGUUUAAUCUCACUAAAGAUUUCAGUUGAAAAUAGACAUCAUAUGAAGAUCAAAUAGGCAUCAAUUAAUUGUCAUGUCACUCAUCCAUAUCAAUAUAUAUCAUAAAGUGCAUUGAUGUGGUGGUCAUCAUGGUUUAAUCACAUUAUAAGUCAGUAACGACAGUCGUUGGGGUCUCAUUAUUGAUGUAGGAGAUGUACCAUAUUAUAAAGGAGAAAUCUAAAGAUAAAUAUCAUUUGGAUUUGCACUUAAAAAAUAAUGAUAUAUUUAUUAAGAUAUAUUGUUCAAGUGGGAUAUUGUUGAAAUAUUUAAUUUAAUUAUGAUAUUAUUAUGUGGGUACAUAUCUUUAUUUAAUUAUAUUAGUUAUUUAACAAUUAUGAACUUUAAUGAUCAAAUUAAGUAAUAAGACUAAUUAGAUUUCUAAUUUUAUAAUUAAUUAAAUAUUUAAUUAAUUGAUAUUGUCUCAAUAUAAGUGGAUGUCACCGAUGGUUCAUUUGAGAAUAAUGGAAAUACUAAUUGGCCAUCAACCUAUUUAUAGGCUAUGAUCUUCAAUAUUCUAGACAUGUGGCAUAUUACAUCUCCUCCACANNNNNNNNNNNNNNNNNNNNNNNNNNNNNNNNNNNNNNNNNNNNNNNNNNNNNNNNNNNNNNNNNNNNNNNNNNNNNNNNNNNNNNNNNNNNNNNNNNNNNNNNNNNNNNNNNNNNNNNNNNNNNNNNNNNNNNNNNNNNNNNNNNNNNNNNNNNNNNNNNNNNNNNNNNNNNNNNNNNNNNNNNNNNNNNNNNNNNNNNNNNNNNNNNNNNNNNNNNNNNNNNNNNAAGGUAUAAGGAGUCUAGACUGAGAAAGAACCACAAGCCAAUGAAUGUUCUUUAUCCGUCUCUUUGUUUCAUGAUCGAUCUUAAUGUUUAUAGCAUGUACCUUUGACUAUUAAAUUUCCACAAUAUAGUAUAUAUAAAAACAUACAUUAUUUGAUGAAUUAGUAAAUUAAUUCCAAUAUUAACUCCUAUAGACGGGCCGACAUUUCUUGUAAUUAGAGAAUUCUAAAUUCUCAAAGUCAAAUAAAUCGGAGCCAUAAAAAAGAGAUGAAACGAUAUAAAUAUCAAAAAUGCUUUGCAUUUUAGUGCUUAUUUUAUGCUAGAACAAUAUAAUUGCUUUUAAGCAUCCUAAGGUGAAGAAAAAAAAAAUAUGAAAGAGUAGCAAUAGUCACUUUAGUUCAAACUAGCCCUACCAUUUCCCACUCCCUUCCCCUGCUUCUAUCCCAUUUUGUAAAGGACAAAUAAUUAUCUUAUAAAACUUAAACAAAAAUGAAGUUGUAUCCCACUUUUCAUCCAUUACCAUUACCAUAGCAAUAAAACUUAAACAAAAAUGAAGUUGUAUCCCACUACCAAAGUAACCUCUCUUUGGAAUUGUAGCACAAAUUUCCUUUUUCUCUUUUCCUCCUUUAAAUUUUAUUGAUUCCAUUUAUCAAGGUUGCCACUUAAAACUAAAAAGUACUACAAUAUUCUCUUUUCCUUCCAUUUAUUCUCUUUUUAAUGUGGUCUCUACUACUAUAUAAACCAUGCUCAUUAUCACAUUUUCUCAUCAAUUUAUUCUCUUCAGCUUCUCUAUCUUUAAUAGCUCAAGUUAUUGUGUUAUCUCGAGGUUGGUCUUUGUAUUUUCAUUUCUAAUUCCCCCCCUCAUUUUUCUCUCAGUUUCAUAAUAUGUUUUUUAUUUAUUUAAAAUCUACUAACUUUUUUUAUGUUAAUCUUGUCAUCUAAUCUUCAACAAUGUUAUCUAUUACAAUGAUCUAUUAUGUCAACCUCAUAACCUGUUUUGUAGUUUUCAAAGUCAAUCCAUAACUUUUUUAUUUUAUUUUAUUCCUUUAUUAUAAUAAGCAAAAUUCUAGAUAUCAAGCUAGUUUAGUUAAUACCUAUUACCAUUCUCAAACUCCUAUGUAUGUGUAUAAAAAUGAGCCAAUGAUUAGAUAGGGAAAAUAUCAACUUUUGGUAAAAAAAAUAGUUUCUUUAAAAAAAAAAUCAAAUUUUUAAACAGUGUUCGUGGUUUAUAUAUUGCAAAAAAUAGAGUUAAAAGGUUGAUGUGACAUCAAUUAUUGUCACUGAUACAUAAAAAAAAUUGAUGUGACAAUCUAAAUUACAGAUAUAAACAAUUUUUAUUAUAAACUUGAUAACUUUUUUAAAUUCUGGACUAAAACAUUUUUUGAUUUCUCGAACAAACUCCAAAUUAGAAAGAAAAAAAGAUUACUAUUUUAUAGUUUCGUCAACGCUUAUGACUUACACAUAUGAUUUUCUAAUAAAAAUUGUUGAAUGUAACAGUAACUUGCAGAGAAAGCAAACAUGAGUAGGCCGGGAGAUUGGAACUGCAGGUCGUGCCAUCACCUAAAUUUUCAAAGGCGCGAUUCGUGCCAAAGAUGUGGCGAUUCAAAAUUCGGAGAAAGAGUUGAGUAUGGAACUUUUGGAGGAAGAGGAGGAUCUUCAUUUGGUUUAAGUGGCUCAGAUGUUCGUCUAGGUGAUUGGUACUGUGCUGCUGGUAAUUGUGGUGCACAUAACUUUGCUAGUCGUUUAAGUUGCUUCAAGUGUGGUGCUUUCAAAGAUGAGUUAGUUGGAGGAUAUAAUAAUAACAAUAGUGACAUUUUGGGUUCAAGGGCUUUUGGUGGAAGUGGAAAACCAGGAUGGAAAUCCGGUGAUUGGAUGUGUAACAGGUAAUUGUGUCAAUAUAUUUUACAUCAACAUCUAAUCAUAUUUUAUCAUCGUGUUAUAUUGUCAUAAAAUUUUAAAAAUUAAUAUUACGAAGUAAUAAGAUGAUGAAAUAUAAUUAGAUAUUUUUUUGAAAAUAUUUAUUUAUGUUAUUGGUUCAAGAUGAAUAUAGUUAUUAAACUUUUUUUUUUUUACAAGAGAAAACUUUUUAUUUUAUAUCUUAUACCAUCUUUUGAUAAUGUUCCUAAUGAAGGAACAACUUAUGCUUUUUGUUAGCCAUGUCUUUGAAGUUUAAAGAAUAUGACAUGUGACAUAGCUGAUACAUGACAUAGUUGAUACACAACACUGAUGUUUAUCUAAUUUAAUAUUGUAAUUUAUCAUUAAACGGUGUUGCUAUUCAAUAAUUAAAAAUUACAAUAAGCUAUAAAUUAUAAUCAUUUUUAAUAUGAUAGAAACCAGACACUAUUGAGGUUGUAGGCAUGCAAUUCAUAUCUUUAUUGAAUCCCCUUUUCUUUUUUGACUGCUUUUAGGAGCUACACAGAAAACUACUUGUACUUAUUGGCCCUUUAUGCUUGGUUAUCUUAAAUUAAAAAUAUGGCUAUAUUUUUGUACCUAUUUUUUAUUUUUUAUUUUUGUGUCUUAAUUUGUGUACUUAUUUAAAUAGUUAAAAAAUUGGUCUUUAUGUUUUUUUUUCUUUGAACAGAUUAGGAUGCAAUGAACACAACUUUGCUAGCAGAAUGGAAUGUUUCAAAUGCAGUGCGCCAAGAGACACAUACUAGAAAUGAGAUUAUCCAAGCAAAAAAUUAGAAAGACUACAUCAAUUACAAGAGAUGCUUCAAGAUUUCAUUAUUAGUUACUAUGAAAUGUUAAGGCUUGUGAUUUCUGAAAAAGUGUUAUGAAAUGUCAUGUUAAAAAGAAACCACAACCCUUAGGCUCUUCUUUAGAUUUUCCUUAAUUAAAAACUAUGAUAAUGUUAUUUUGGUGCUUUAAACUAUUUUAUUAUCUUUAGUCUGUGUUAGAGAGUUCAUUUAUUGUAUUGUGCGUUGUUUUCUUAAAUGUUGGUGAAUUUUUAUUUUCUUAUCUCAUGAAAAUCAACUAUAGUACUUCCUAAAUGUAUGUGUGAGAUUGAGAGGGUGUGAUGCCAUAAUCCAUCAUUCAUCUUAUUUCAUGAGUUAGAUCAAUUUAUUCUAUAAUAUUGGACAUCAAUGGUCGUUUUUUUGCAUACGUUCUUUUUUAUUUUAUUAAAAACAAUAUUUAUUUGGUUGUUGAAAUUCAAAUUGUUUUAGGAAUGUGAAUUUUGUGUUUGACUAUUCAUAUUAUGAAAAGAAGCUAAUAUGGAUAAAAUGUGAAAUGUCAAUUAAAGGUACAAAGUAUGAAAUUAUGCUUAACCGUCUAAUAUAUUUUGAUUAUUUUGGAUAGAAACCGAAAAGUCAAUGAAACUAAAAAGAAUGAAUUUCGCUUAAUCGUCUAUUUAUUAAUAGAUAUAAGCUAGAAUGUUAAUUCAGGCUAAAAUAAAUAAUGAAUUUUGUAGAGUGGUAAAUAAGGCUAAAAGAAAAAUGAUUUUGUCACAAAAUGUUGUUGGUGUUUUUGAAAAAUAUUCGACAAAUGUUUUGAUAGAAUAUAUUCUUGAGUUUGAUGAUGAAGUAAAUUUGAAUUAUGCACUUGCUCCAUCUUUUUUAUAUUUGACGAAAGUCGUUGAUAUUGAAAUAACGAUGAUACCAAAGUAUCGAAAAAAGUCGGUAGAUUUUGGUAAAGUUUUGUUGAAAAACACCUUGCCCUUAAUGUCCAUUGUCUGAUGGAGUUUUUUCUUAUUAUUAUCAUCAUGAUGAAAUAAUUGUAACUUGAAAUUUGAUGGAAAAAUAUAAGAAAAUGAAGAAAUAAGUUUUGAAUAGGGAAAUAAAAAGAGGAAAAUGGAUAAAUUAUUCAAGAAUCAAAUGAGAUAGAAAAGAUAAAUCAAUUAAGUUUUAAAAAAAAAAUAGAAGAAAUUUUUGAGAAAAAAUAAAUUGCGGAAUUAUUAAUUAUCUAACACCAUACUACGAUUCUUUAUUUAAGUCAUUGAUAAAAGAAAAAUUACAUAGACUUAUAUAAUUAAUUAAAUAAAACAACAAACUAAUAUAAAAUAACUAACUAACUAAUUUAAUUAUUUAAUUAGAAUUGAUCUUAAUAUGUCCAUGAAAGAGUGCUAAGGUUGCAUAUAUUUUAGGCAGGAUGCCUAAUUCGUUGUAUUAUAAAAUUUCUAUACUGAAUCUGAAUGUGUAUUAAUAUAUUAUUUUAAGGGCAUUAAAUUUUGAAUUUUAUUUUAACUCUCUAGUUUUAAAGAAUUCCAACAGAUGAUUCCUCGUAAACUGAAAUUUAUUAACGACUUGAAUUUAAUCAACUGCAUUAAUAAAUUUUUUAAUAUUAAUUGACAUAAUUGAUGUAUAAAAAUAAACUUAGUUCCAUCCUUUCUAGACUUCCCUGACUUAGUUAGCAAGAACGCAAAUCACAUUGGAUUCCUUUCACUGAAUGUAAAGUAUACCUUUAAAAAGGAAGUGUAUUGUGGAUUCAAAAGAUGAACUCAAAAAUCCAUAACUAAAUGUGUUUUUUUAUGUAGGACUCUUGUCUUCCUUUCAGGCCGGCUUUAUGUUAGUGAAGGGCUCCUCCAAUUCUUUUAAGGCAAACUUUAUGUUGGUGAAGUGUCUUCAAAUAUAGAUAAUAUACGAGAUACAUGGCUUUUUUUUAAUAACUAUUAUGUUGUUAUUGGCAUCGGGGUCGUGUAUAGAUUUAUUGGGGUCAUUGACAAAUCAUAGUCUUUAAUGUGCAUUUUAAUUCUAUGAGUACCUCAAACUUUAUUAGGCCAACAACAACAAAAAGAGAAAAGAAUUACGGUAUAUUAGUUUUCAACAUUUUGGAAUUUAAUUAAUAUUUACUUAUACAGUUAAUAGUAUGAAAUUAAGAUUUUCUAAACCAUUACAAAUAUUAUACAAAUUGAUACAGAGUCUAAAAUGAAUGUUUUAAUCGUCUUACUUGUUACAGGGCUCUGACUUCCACUUUCUUUAGAAAUCUCCAGUGUUAACGUGUAAAUUCAGAAGUUGAAUGACAAUAUUUCUUCUUUUCAAUAAGGGACAUUUUCGUUGACCAAACAAGAUUUUCCUUUUGUUUUUGGUUCAUCAAGUUAGAACUCAUUUCAUUAUUUUCCUUGAAGUCAUUAGCUUUCUUAUUUGAAGGGUAAAAAUAGCUAUGAGGAUAAAUGAGGGAAAAGGAUAAUGAGCCAACAGUGGUUGGGUGGGUCUAGGAGACAAUAAGGAUAAAUGAGCGAAAUGUACCAUGCCCCCCCCCCNNNNNNNNNNNNNNNNNNNNNNNNNNNNNNNNNNNNNNNNNNNNNNNNNNNNNNNNNNNNNNNNNNNNNNNNNNNNNNNNNNNNNNNNNNNNNNNNNNNNNNNNNNNNNNNNNNNNNNNNNNNNNNNNNNNNNNNNNNNNNNNNNNNNNNNNNNNNNNNNNNNNNNNNNNNNNNNNNNNNNNNNNNNNNNNNNNNNNNNNNNNNNNNNNNNNNNNNNNNNNNNNNNNNNNNNNNNNNNNNNNNNNNNNNNNNNNNNNNNNNNNNNNNNNNNNNNNNNNNNNNNNNNNNNNNNNNNNNNNNNNNNNNNNNNNNNNNNNNNNNNNNNNNNNNNNNNNNNNNNNNNNNNNNNNNNNNNNNNNNNNNNNNNNNNNNNNNNNNNNNNNNNNNNNNNNNNNNNNNNNNNNNNNNNNNNNNNNNNNNNNNNNNNNNNNNNNNNNNNNNNNNNNNNNNNNNNNNNNNNNNNNNNNNNNNNNNNNNNNNNNNNNNNNNNNNNNNNNNNGAGGUUUUCCAUGGAGCUUCCAACAUGUAUCACGUGUGUGCCAUGGACGUUUGCAAUGUUCGCACCAUGGUUUCUUGUCAGCGCUCUUCCUGUCUUCAUUCUUAGUGACUAGGGCAGAGCUUUCAACCUCACCAACAGAAGGUGACUUACCUAUCAUAACACCUUGUCUCGCCUCUUCUCUUCUAACUUAUGAGAACGCUUCCUGAAGUGAUGGCAAUGGGAUCUUUCCCAAUAUUCUGCCUCGAACUUCAUCAAACCGCUUAUUAAGCCCAAUCAAGAACAUGAAUACACGGUCGUUCUCCUGUCUCUUAAGAAACAAAACAUUGUCGUCACAACACUUCCAAUGAUCAUCAUAGUAGAGAUCCAAUUCUUGCCAUAGUGUCAUCAACUCAUUAUAAUAGGUAGUGGCAUCUCUAUCUCCUUGUUUGGCAUGCCACAAUCGUGAUUUGAGAUCGAAAAUUUGAGAAGAAUUCUGAAUAACAGAAUAUGUCUCUUUGACAGCCUCCCAAACUUCCUUCGCGGCAAAAACAUAAAAGGUUUUCUGAUUGUUGAUUACAUAUUACUAAGCAGCCAAGCAAUAAUAACAAAGUUCUCAAAUUUCCAAAACCUGUAAUUCAGAUUAGUUGUGGCAUGCAUCUGCACCUCUCCUGUUAGGAAACCAUAUAUUCCCUUACCGUUUAAAAUCAAUCUUGCGGUUUGGGACCAUUCGACAUAAUUUUUUCCAUUUAGUUUAUGGAUUUCAACCUUGAGGGCAUUAGAAGUUCUCUCAUGGCCAAAAAAGUUGGAAAAACCAUGGUUAGAUAAACCAUUCUGGCCGCCUGGGCCGUUGGCACUGCUGCCUAGGGCGCUGCCUAAAUUGUCGGCGUUGUUGACUACUUCUGAUUUUUUACCCAAACCAUGGUCGUUGUUGUCGCCGCUACCCAUAAGGGCAGCUCAGUUGGUUGGAGCGCCAAAUCCUAGUGGGUUGUGUGGAAAGGUUUACAGAACCCUAACCAGAGCUCUUGAUACCAUGAAGAAAGUAAAAGACAAAAUACUUUCAUAUUUUAUUACUAUAGCCCUAAGCUAUUUAUAUAGGGGAAAAAAUUACAAUAGUAAUACUGAGUAAUAAUGACAGAAUGAAAAUAAAUAUAAUAAUAUAAAAUAAAAGAGAAUAAAAUCUAAUUUAUCUUGAUUCUUCAACACUAAGUAACAGUAACCUAUUGUCUAUUGGGGCCUAGAAACCACGUAGAAUAAGCGGGAAAUGAGUGUUAAAUGAGGGAGAAUGAGGGGGACAUAUGGUGUAAUUGUGUCUGAACUACACAUUAGAGUCAAUUUUAUAUAAGUUCAAGGCUAUAAAUACAAGAUAUUAUCCCUAUUUACGUGAUAUGGGGAGCCCCUAAUAUGGUCCCCAAAUUUAAGGGACUACUAGUGAACCUCUACAGUUAACUUGCUAUAGGAAGUCCCUCUAAACACAUUUAAGUCAAAAUUAAUUUUCAAUUGAACUCAUCUUUGUCGCCCGACGCCGGUCAUAUCAAUUUGGUUCCUUUCAAAGUUUGAAAACCUCAUUGUGACUGUGUUCCUCUGUUUCCACAAGUGACAACCACAACCUAAUACCAAGUAAUUGUGUGCUUUUCUGUUUGCCCAUUUAUGUGAAUGGUUUGUUAUCGUUCAAUGGGAUUUCAAGACCGUGGUUUCUCAUGUAGGUUGAGUUCUUCCAUGAGUUGUUUGUGGAUUUUUUGGUAGCGUUUUUAGUUUUGAUCAUAGGAUUAUAUAUUGUGAUGUUUUUAGUGGAGUCACUGUACCAAUCUUACCCGAUAAUGUUGUGAGAACAUUGGGUAAGAGACAUGGACAUAGGUUGAGUUUUUGCUACAUAAGAUUUUUUGAAGGUGGCCGCUUUAGAUUUACUCACCGACUGAAAGGCAAUAACACAAUCAUAGUGAGGGCUUCAAACUUUACUAGCUCAAUUGAAAAUUGAUAUUUUCCCAAAUGAGUUUGGUGUAGGAGAAGGAAAUAAGGGAAUGGAAUUGGAAUGUAAAAAAAUCCUAAAACCCAAAUAAACUUUAAUAAUUCCCUAUCUGUUAGAAUAUUAGAAAAAUAUCUUAUAAUAUCUAUUAUAUUAUAUUAGAGUAUCUUGGGUUAUUUUCUAGGAUCAAUUUAUAAUCAUAGAGAUUAUCUCUCAUUAUUAUUAUGAUUUAUUCUUGAUUUAGGAUUGAGUUUAUGUUUCUCUAUAAAUAGAGAUUGAUAUUGAGUCUUUUGUAAUAAAAAGUCAGCAUUAAGCUAUUAUCAAUAAUAUUCAAACUCUUAUUAUUUUCUCUUUCCUUUUCUCUAAAAUCCCACAACUUCAACAUGGUAUCUAGAGCCUAUUUCGAUCCUCCUUGAAUGAUCCUGCCUCUAUUUCCCUGCCAAGUUCCCAACAGUUAGGGAAUAUAAUCAUAGUUUCUCUUUUCCAACAUUCCGGCACGUUUCACUCGUUUUCUGUUCAAUUCACUACUGCCGUUGCUGCCACUAUUUCCAGCAAAUUUUCCUGUGAACAUCGUCGUCAAUUACAGAUCAGGUCAUGUCCGAAAGCGCGUCGCCAAAAGCCGUCACACGAGCUCUCAUGCCCUGCUAAUCUCUCAUGCAAGUAGAUCUGCUGCCGCCGUCUGCUGCUCUCUGCCGUCGCUGCUGGAAAAGUUUUCCGACACAACCACUUCCAAUUUGUGCAGAAUCUCCCAAUCUACACAACCCAAAUUUUUUUAGGUCAAAAGUUGCUCCACACACGCUCAUGUGUCUCCAAGAUUCGUCAUGUUCAUCUCACGCGCCGCCACCUCCAGCCUCGAGCUCAGGCGCGUCUGUCUUCCGGCAUAAUGUUUCAGUCGUCUAGAUUGAGUUUUCCUUCCUGGUUCCAGAUUUGUUUUAAGUUUUUUCUUUCAAGCCACAUGCAUACAGCUUGACAAUUUAUCCCAGAUACACUAGCCCCAUCUUUGUCCCAGAUAUACUGGCCUUGCCUUUCUCUCCCUGAAGCAUGCCUCUCUCUCCUUUAAGCAAAUUCAAGUUUAAAUAUUUUGAGUCUCUGAUAUUAUUGGUUUGAAGCUUCCAAAUGCAGUUUUUUAUAAGGACAUAAACUUUGCUUUGUUCAAUUGCUUGUCAUGAAUUUCUCUCAUGCUGAUAAUCAUUCCGGCUAUCUGGCUAGGCUGUAUUUAUGGCAAUUCUCUCCGACUUCACCUGCAUCCCUGAGUUGUCUUUCCAUUUUCUUUUAUUAUUUUGCGGAUCAAAACAUUGUUUUCUUGUAACAAGGGAGUGUUAGAAUAUUAGAAAAAUAUCUUAUAAUAUCUAUUAUAUUAUAUUAGAGUAUCUUGGGUUAUUUUCUAAGAUCAAUUUAUAAUCAUAGAGAUAUCUUAGAAUAUCUAUCAUUAUUAUUAUGAUUUAUUCUUUAUUUAGGAUUGAAUCUAUGUUUCUCUAUAAAUAAAGAUUGAUAUUGAGUCUUUUGUAAUAAAAAGUCAACAUUAAACUAUUAUCAAUAAUAUUCAAACCCUUAUUAUUUUUUCUUCUCCUUUUCUCUAAAAUCCCACAACUUCAACACUAUCAAACCCCAAAAAACAAUAACCGGUUGUGUAACCAGUCAGUUAUAGACACCUAUGGCCCCUUAAAAUUGAGGACCAUAUUAGGGACUCCCACUGAUAGAGCUAAGAAGGACUGUAGGCCACCUAUUACUAAAGUGUAUGUGAGGCGCCAGCCUGGCACUAAAUGAAAAUAACUAACUAGUGAAUAAUAGUUAGUGGGAAUAGAAUAAAUAGGAGGGAAAUAGAGGAAUGGGGGUUAAUUUUGGAAACAGUGGAGUAGGAGUAACUGAUUCUGGGAAUCAGUUAGAGAUUUCUGUUUUCUUCCCCAUCUAUCUGUUUUCUUCCCAUCUAUCUGUUUUGCUUCUUUCUCUACAAUUCCUUGUAAUUCUUCUAUUCAAUCAAUAAUACAAAGAGAUUAGGGUUCAUUGAUCCUAAUCCACCAUUCAGUUUCAAUUACGCUAUUUGUUCCUAAUUGAUACCGGUAUUAACACUGGUAUCAGAGCACCGAUCCUGGUGCCCUGAAUUCCACGCUUGGAGUUGCUGCGUAUGAGGACGAGAAGCAUGGCGAGAGCCAAUGACGAUUGGGAACAGGAACAUGAAGAGAUGAAAACUCGACUUGAGUUUGCAGAAGCUCUGGCGAAGAAACAUGAGGAUCAAAUCGCUGAUUUGUUGAUGAAAUUUGGCUCGAAUCGUGAACAGGGUAGUCCGUUUCAGGAAGGAACUGGAAGUAAUGGAGGUCACACUGAACAAGUUCAUCGUAGGGAGAAAUGGCGGAAAUUGGAGAUUCCAAUUUUUGCGGGAGAAGAUGCUUGUGGAUGGACACAGAUUGGAACGAUACUUUUUGUUAAAGGAGGUAACCGAGGAAGAAAAGAUGCAAGCUACAGUCAUGGCUCUAGAAGGAAAAGCGUUGAGUUGGUACCAUUGGUGGGAGAAAUGCAACCCUAACCCUAAUUGGGAAGGUUUUAAGAUUGUUGUGGUACGUAGAUUCCAACCUUCAAUGGUUCAGAAUCCUUUUGAGCAAUUGUUAUCCUUGAAACAAACAGGCACCGUAGAUGAGUAUGUCGAGAAUUUUGAAAAAUACGUGGGAGCCAUGGGAACCAUUGAUCAAGAAUUUGUGAGAGGAAUAUUCUUGAAUGGACUCAAACAGGAGCUACAAGCUGAGGUAAAAUUGUAUGAGCUUAACUCCUUAUCAGAAAUGAUUCAAAAAGUUAUAUUGAUUGAACAAAAGAACAUGUUAGUCAAUAUGAAAAAUGGUUAUAGUUAUGCUUCUAGAACUAACGGCAAUUCACGUAGCAUGCCCUAUUCUAAAACUAUAACCCUAGAAUCAAAGUUGAGUUCAGAUCAGAAAAGCAGUAACAUGAGUGGGAUUGGCCAGAGUCAAAGUGUGGAAAGUGUUAAAAACAGAGGAGGGGAGUUUAAACAUUUAACCAAUGCUGAAGUCAAAGAGAAAAGAGAAAAAGGGUUAUGUUUUAGAUGUGAUGAACCUUAUAAUAGAGAACAUCGAUGUAAAAACAGACAAUUUAAGAUGAUCAUUAUGGAAGAAGAGGAGGAAGAAGGAGUGGAAGAAGGGGAGGAACCCCUUCAGUCUUUUAGAUCUUUGCAUCUAUCAUUGUGUUCCAUGUCUGGAUUCACUACGACUAGAUCUUGGAAAGUGGAGGGAUUGUUAGAAGGUGUAGCAGUGGUCAUCCUAAUUGAUUGUGGUGCUUCCCACAAUUUCAUAGCUACUGAGUUGGUGGAAAGACUGCACUUAACAGUUAUGGAAACCUCUCCUUACAUGGUAGAAGUAGGAGAUGGACAUAAAGUAAGAUGCAAGGGAAAGUGUGCACAGUUAAAAUUUCAGAUGCAGAACUUAGAAGCAAUCCAAGACUUUUAUUUGUUCACACUCAAGGGGGUUGACAUGGUGUUAGGCUUGGAUUGGCUAGCAGGGUUGGGAGAAAUUAAAGCAGAUUUUGGAAAGCUGGAACUAACUCUGAAACAAGGAGAAAAGUUCAUCAGAAUAGCUGGAAAUCCAGCCUUAACUAGAACUGAACUCCCUUUUAGAGCACUGAUGCAAGUUUUAAAAGAAGAAGGUGAGGGAUUAUUAAUUCAAUGUGAAAGAACCAAGACGGAAUUAGAUUCUCAAAAGACCCUACCAAAAAAUUUUCUGAAUUUACUAGACGAAUUUGAUGAGGUAUGUUCAGACCCAAAGGAGCUGCCUCCAUUUAGAAAGCAUGAUCAUGCUAUCCAUCUCAAAGAAGGAGCUUCAAUUCCUCAUUUGAGGCCUUACAAGUACCCACAUUAUCAGAAAACAGAGAUAGAAAGAUUGGUAGCAGAGAUGCUGGAAUCUGGGGUAAUUAGACACAGUAUUAGUCCAUAUUCAAGUCCUAUUAUACUAGUGAAAAAGAAGGAUGGGGGGUGGAGGUUUUGUGUAGAUUAUAGAGCAUUGAACAAGAUAACGAUACCUAACAAAUUCCCUAUUCCAAUUAUAGAGGAACUUUUGGAUGAAAUUGGUGGAGCCACUGUGUUCACUAAAUUGGACUUGAAAUUGGGUUAUCAUCAGAUCAGAAUGAAGGAAACUGAUAUUGAAAAAACAGCUUUUAGAACUCAUUAAGGUCAUUAUGAGUUUGUGGUGAUGCCUUUUGGCUUGACUAAUGCCCCUUCUACAUUCCAAGCUCUAAUGAAUGAGGUUUUAAGACCCUUUUUGAGACAAUUUGCAUUGGUUUUCUUUGAUGACAUCUUGGUUUAUAGUAGAGAUGAGGUUGCACAUGAAGAUCAUUUGCGGAAAGUGCUGGAAGCAUUAAGAGGAAAUUCCUUACUGGUCAACAAAAAAAAAUGUAGUUUUGUUCAGCCAAGCCUAGAGUAUUUGGGUCAUGUUAUCUCUGAGGCAGGAGUGACAGCCGACCAGACAAAGGUAGAGGCUGUAAAAUCUUGGCUUGUUCCUAAAGACUUGAAGAGUUUAAGAGGAUUUUUGGGGCUGACAGGCUAUUAUAGGAGAUUUGUACAGAAUUAUGGUAGAAUCACCAAGCCCUUGACUGACUUAUUGAAGAAGGACAAUUUUGUGUGGAAUGAGGAAGCCACUACAGCAUUCCAAACUCUGAAACAGGCCAUGGUUAGUUUACCAUUGUUAGCAGUACCUGAUUUUUCUAAGACAUUUAUUGUUGAAACUGAUGCAUCUAGUAAAGGGCUAGGGGCUGUCUUGAUGCAAGAAGGGAAACCUUUAGCUUUUUGGAGUAAAGGUCUUUCCCCCAGAGCUCAAGCUAAAUCAGUUUAUGAGAGAGAGUUGAUGGCUUUGGUACAAGCUGUUCAGAAAUGGAAACACUACCUCAUGGGUAGACAUUUUGUUAUAAAGACUGACCAAAGGAGUUUGAAAUUCCUCACAGAUCAAAGGUUGUUUAGUGAGGAGCAAUUCAAGUGGGCAGUGAAACUCAUAGGUUUGGAUUUUGAGAUCCAGUUUAAACCUGGCAAAGAGAAUACAGUAGCAGAUGCAUUGUCAAGAAAAACCAUGUAUACUGCUAUCUCUGUAAUUGAUUUGGCUGAUGCUGAAGAUUGGUUUCAAGAAAUGGAAACUGAUCCUAAAUGGAAGAAGGUGAUCCAGGAUUUAGCUUGUGAUCCUAAUGCUCAUCCUGGUUUUCAAUUUCAAGCAGGCAGAUUGUUAUACAAAGGAAGACUGGUUUUGAAAAAGGGUUCUAACAAAAUUCCUCUGAUUUUAGCUGAAUGCCAUGACAGUGUGACUGGAGGCCAUUCGGGAUUUUUCAGAACCUACAAGAGAGUUUCCAGUUUUUUCUACUGGGAAGGUAUGAGAAGCUAUGUAAAGCAGUAUGUAGAGGCUUGUGAUAUCUGUCAAAGACAGAAAUAUUCCACAUUAGCCCCUGCAGGUUUGUUACAGCCAUUACCAAUACCAACACAGGUGUGGCAAGACAUUUCUAUGGAUUUUAUUUCUGGUUUGCCUAAAACUAAGGGCAAGGAUACUAUAUUUGUGGUAGUGGACAGACUCACAAAAUAUGCUCAUUUUUAUCCACUUGGGCAUCCUUUCAAUGCAAAGGAUGUGGCUGCUUUGUUUGUCAAAGAAGUAGUUCGUUUACAUGGAUUUCCUACAUCCAUCGUUUCAGACAGGGAUCCGAUAUUUUUGAGUCAAUUCUGGCAGGAAUUGUUCAGAUUGGCUGGAACUACACUCAAGUACAGCACUGCGUAUCACCCUCAGACAGAUGGCCAGACUGAGGUGGUCAAUAGGAGUUUGGAAACUUAUCUCAGGUGCUUUGCUGGACCUAAACCAAAAAGUUGGGUGGACUGGCUCUCUUGGGCAGAAUUUUGGUUUAACACCACCUACAACAUUUCAGCUGGAAUGACCCCUUUCAAGGCUUUGUAUGGAAGAGAUCCCCCGACAAUGAUUAAAGGGUGUACUUUUACUUCUAAGAUAGACGUAGUUAACCAACUGUUGAUGUCACGGGAUUUGAUUUUACAAGAGUUACAACAGAAUUUGUUGAAAGCUCAAGAUGUUAUGAAAACACAGGCCAACAAACAUAGAAGACAAGUUGAAUAUGAAGUAGGGGAUUGGGUAUUUUUAAAACUUCAGCCUUAUAAGCUGAAGUCUUUGGCUCGUAGACCUAUCGCGAAACUCUCUGCUAAAUUCUAUGGUCCUUAUCAAAUCCUUGAGAGGAUUGGUCCAGUUGCAUAUCGCUUAGAACUUCCAGAAUCUGCUAGAGUUCAUCCAGUUUUCCAUGUAUCUUUGCUAAAGAAAGCUUUGAAGCAGGGUCACCAACAGCAGCCAUUACCACCAAUGCUUUCUGAGGAAUUUGAAUUACAAGUGGAGCCAACUGAUAUUUUGCAAUGUAGGGAGGAUAAGGAUGGGAAUUUGGAGGUCUUGGUCCAGUGGGAUCAGUUACCAGCAUGUGAUAAUUCGUGGGAACUUGCUACACAAUUGCAGCACUCUUUUCCUCGGUUUCCCCUUGAGGACAAGGUCAUUCUUUUGGGGGGGAGUAUUGAUAGAGCUAAGAAGGACUGUAGGCCACCUAUUACUAAAGUGUAUGUGAGGCGUCAGCCUGGCACUAAAUGAAAAUAACUAAGUAGUGAAUAAUAGUUAGUGGGAAUAAAAUAAAUAGGAGGGAAAUAGAGGAAUGGGGGUUAAUUUUGGAAACAGUGGAGUAGGAGUAACUGAUUCUGGGAAUCAGUUAGAGAUUUCUGUUUUCUUCCCCAUCUAUCUGUUUUCUUCCCAUCUAUCUGUUUUCCUUCUUUCUCUACAAUUCCUUGUAAUUUUUCUAUUCAAUCAAUAACAAAGAGAUUAGGGUUCAUUGAUCCUAAUCCACCAUUCAGUUUCAAUUACGCUAUUUGUUCCUAAUUGAUACCGGUAUUAACAGAGGCUAAAACUUAUUUGCUUUAUAUUGGGUUUGAAUGUUGGUAGCAAUGAACAUCGAUUAUUAGUUAUGAAUAUGUCUUUAGUCAAUGUUUGUUGUUCUUCUAUUUUUUUGCUUUUAAGUGUAUAGAAAAUACUUCUUGUAUUGUUUCUCUAAACUUCGACGUAGAGGCCAUAGCACUAUCUGCUAUUCACGCUAUAGUGUUUUGGGGGUUGGUCGCUACGCUCUAUUAUCCACCAUUAAUUAACUACAUUGCUUUCAAAAUAAAAAUUGUUUUUACAAUUUUAACCAAACAAAAAAUAACUUUUGCUUAUGUAAUAUCUUGGAAAAUAUUUAUAAAAAAAUUUGAAAAUACUUUUUUAAAGUUGAAACAAACAGAACCUUAAUUUAUCCAAUUUAAAAUUCCAUUAUCAUGAAGUAGGCAAAUGCCUGGCCAGGUCAGUAACUAGUUUAUUGAUUAGCCUCCGCUUUGUCUGUUUCGUAGCAGUAUUCAAAUUCUACAUACAUCUAUAGAAAGAUGUAAUGUUACCGGCUCCAAUUCUUCUCUAUAUCAACUUUGCUAAGUGUAAUAUCUUUCAAAUUAAGUUGACUUCUACUGCUAUUAAUAUGCAAGUUUUACAACAGCUGGGUAUGCAGUAAAUCACAUUUACUAUUACUAUCCAUUAUUUUCAUAGCAAAAGCCUGUCGAUAAAUAAACCUUGAAUUGACAAAUGUAGACUGUAAAUUAUUAAAAAAAAUGAUUCAGAAGAUUCGAAAGGCAUAAAGCCACAACACAUGCAAGUUUUCCCCAAGAAAAUAGUUCCCGAGUAUCAAGUGAUUUUCAAAAUGAUAACACUACUAGUACUAGUACCACUCAUCUUCCCUAGGUAACCCUUUAAGUAUUCAGGUAUCCUAAAAACUCAAUUUUAAUUCCAAAAGUAUGAAAUUCUAAAUAGUUAAUUUAACUAUAAAAAUCAGAUAUCAAAUUUUCAUUUACAUUUCAAAAAGAAAUCAUCAUAGAAAAACAAAGGAAAAAGAGUAAGUAGGGUAGAAGUUCCUUCUAUUUGAAUGGCUCGAAGCCAUGAACACACUGUGUUUUAAAUUAAGUGAGGGUUCACAAGUAGUUUUAUAAUUUUAUUUAUCAAGUGAAAAGGCUUUUGAUUGGAAUUGGUUGAUCAAAGUUCACAGAUAGUUUUACUUAAACGGUUUGCCACUAAAUACGAUUUAUAAUAGAUUGUAACGCUGUUAGGCAUAAGUAGCCAACCUCAUUUAGUAGAAAAAUACUUUUAUCAUUUUAAUAGGUGAACGUGAACUUUAGUAGCAAGAUUGGAAGAAUGGCUGAGCACUUCUAAAGUAGGUUUUGGGGAAGUAAACAUGGUUAUGAAAAAAAAUGUUUGGUUGUUACAAAUCAAAGUAUAUCUUGGUUUCAAAAGCCAGUAUGACCAACAAUAAUAAAACGAAGCUGGCAAUUUUCCACUAAGCGUGUGUUUGGUUUUGCAAUGACUGAGAACUGAUUUUAACAGAACUGAGUUUGAUAUAUAUGAUUGUAGUUAAAAGUGAGUUGAAUGUAAAUUGAUUUAUGUUUGAAUGUAAAAGCUAUUCUUAUCAAUUUAUAUUGUUAGGAAAGUUUGGAUCAAAAUUACUUUUGGAUGUGUAAUAAAGGGAUGAUGUAUUGUCACCCACAACUAAUUUUCAGAAUUAAUUUUCAAUCACCGAAAAAGCUUGGAAUUUUAGCUUUCAAGUGAACUAAAGUUUGAGGUUGGAAUUGAUUCGCUUGUAUUGCAGCAAAACACUAUAUUUUUGUCAAACCAUGUUUGACUGUAGUGGACACACGAUUGGAGUUCGUCCCUGUGAAACCAAACGAGUGCUAUGUUCCACUAAGAACUUGCUUCCCAAAUAAAAACGUUUAAAUAUAAAUUACUCCACCUACAACUAUAUUUUAGCCAAAUUUUAAUUUGAUCAAAUCAAGUUCAUUCAAAACCAAUUUUACAAAUGCUCGCCCAAACACACAUAUCUAAUAAGUAUUGCCAAAUGCCUAGUUUCUUCUAGUUUGUUAUUCACAAUCAACAGCACAGGCAAAGCUCACAAGCAGUAUCAAAAAAGGGUAAAGGAUCCUAACAAUGAUGUUAAGUUAGCACAUGAAACAUGUUUCAUCAUGCUUCAUAACUCUCUUUGAUUCAAGAACAUCUUCUCCAUCUUUUCAUGUAUUUAUUAAUAUUUCUUUUUCAUAACAUUUCCAAUCUUCACCUAUAUAGCACUUGCACUUCAAAUUUAUGACACGACACAGACACAUAUGAUUACAUUCAAUCAAUUUCAAUUUCUCAAAUUAAGAAUCAAAUAUAACAAAAGAAAGCAGUAAAAACGCAAUACCUCAUCGAGUAGGAAUCAUGCCGGUUUUCCUAGCAUAGGCAAAGAUACCACCGGCUUCAAUGACAGGACCGGCAUCUCCAAUAGGCUUCAACUUAUACUCCUUUCCGGUUGUGUGAUUGAUCAAUCGAUUCUCCUCGAGCUCAACCGUCACUACAUCUCCCGUACGGCACUCCUCGCAGAUUCGCGUCUCAGAUUCAACCGGAUACACCUCUCCAGUAGCCACGGAGUUCCGGAAGAAGAUCCGUGCGUAUGACUCCGCUAUUACAGCGGCGGCACCGGAGGCGCCUAAUGCCACCGGUGCGUGUUCACGGGAGGAUCCACAGCCAAAAUUAUCGCCGGCGAUGAUGAUUGAGUAUUUCGUUUUGGUCUCGCCGGAGUCGAUAAAUCGGACAGCGUAAGAAUCAGGGAGUCCAAUUAAAGCAAAGGAACCGAGCUUCUGGUACUCGUCGGGGUUGGAAGGGACGAGAGUGAGAUGCUCGGCGGGGAUGAUCUGAUCGGUGUCGAUGUUAUCACCGACAACGUAGCAGAGACCAUGGAAGGAUGAGGUGGCGGUGGUUGUUGUUGAGGGAGAAGGAGGCGCGUGUGCGCGUGUGAUUUGUGGAGAGGAAAUGAUGGUUUUGCAGAACUUUGAUUGAAAUGAUGGAAAUGAAAGGAAGUUAAACGACGACGUUGAAGAAGAAGAAGAAGAAUGAGAGAAUGAGAGUUUGUUAGAGGAAGCAAAGGUUAGGUUUUGAGAAACAGUAGCGGUUGCAGAGGAAAACGCCAUCGUUUUAAGGUCAGAGACACACACUCACUCUUUCUGGUUCCCUCGCGAUGAUCUCCCUAUUUAGCGGCGCGUCUGUUAAUUUUCAUUGCAUUUAUAUAUAUUUAUUGUAUUUAAACGACGGCGUUUGGAGGUUAUGUUUGGUAGCAGCCAUUACAGUUUCCGUGUCGAUUUUUCCUUUUUAAGUGGUACUAGUAGUGUUGUAUCGAUUUUGUUUUCAUUACAAAAUAUUCAUUUAUUUGAUAGGGUAUUUCUAUAUGAUACAAAUUCAAAUUUAUUAAAAUUAAAAAGAAGAAUCCAUAAAAAAAUUCAUAGUAUUUAGAUUAAUAAUUUAAAAUAAUUACAUAUCUAUAAAUAUGAUAAAAUUUAAAUGUUCAAAAUAUCAUACAUUUAAAUGUAUCUAAAGUAAGAACUACGUCAAGCCGUCUAAGGGUGGUUGAUGAUUUAAAUUAUGUAAAGCCUUAUUUGAUGGACUUUUUUUAAUAAAAUGUCAAGUUUAGACUUUUUAAAGAGGACAUUUAUCUAAAUAGGUAAUCAUUAAACUUUUCAAAAUAUAUACUUUAAGUCAUACAUAAAUCAAUUUAAAUAUCAAAGUAAAUAAAAAAAUACAUAAAAAGGUCGUCCCGUCAAACUUAAGCUUUUUAAAAAGUUUAAGUUUGAAAGAUCGAUCUAUUCGUAUAAUUGAGUUUUUUUUUAUUUGUUAUGUAUUUUAAUAGACUUACAUAAGACUUAAACAAUAUUAUGGUUGAAUUUGACAAGUUGUUUACUUAUUUAAAAUCUAUUAUCUUAUUAUAAUUUUAUUGAAUUUGUUUCUUAAUUUUUAAGGCCUAUUUGGCUGUAAAAAAUUUUUAAUUACAAUUGUCCGAUUAAGUAUAACAAAUUAAUUGAAAGCUUGUAUUUAGUAUACUUGCAAAUUGAUAGACUUCUUGAUUUUUUUACCUAUUUAAUUAUAAUUGUAUUUAAAUGUUUUGAUAUGAAAAAAUAAACUUUCAGAGCAUGAUAGACUUUAAGAAAAGUCAAGCUAGACCUCAAAAAAUGGUUUAUGAUAAGUAAUAGGUCAGAAUCAAACUUCAAAUUUUUAAAACAAACCAAAUCUAUUUAACCAAAAUCUUGUCUGAUGAAACUCAUCUCCACCCCUAUCUAUAACGUUCACAGCGCUACAAUUGUCAUAAUAGAAUUGUUCAAAUGGACUGCCCGAAAAAUAAUAAGGCUUUGGGCCUCAAUUUUUGAGACCGAAUUAGAUUAAGGCUUCCGUAAAAACCCAAGUCUAUGACGGACUAAUCCAACAAAGCUUCGGGUGGCUCGUAUUGCACGUAUUAAAGAAAUAUUUAUUUAAAUUAUUAAGUGCUAAAAUAGUUAGUAAAAAUAUUAAUAUUUUGUAAUUAACAAUUAAAUGUUAGUAAAUAAUAUUAACGAAAAAAUUAAUAUAAUAUACAUGUAUUUGUUAAUUUUAUUUAUUGUGGUUUAUUUUAUUGCUAACAGUUAAAUAUUUAUGGAUGUUUAUUUUUUAUUUAACUAUGUAUACAUGGACGUAUUAAAUAUUUUUGAAACACAAUUAAAUUUAAUAUAUUAAUAAUUAAAUAGUAAUUUUUUAUAACUUAUUGAGUCUUAUUUUUAUUUCCACUUCUAGAUAUUAAUUCUAAAUUGUUCAUAUCAUAAUUUUAAACUUAAUUUUAUGAAUUAAAAUAUGUAUUUAGGUUUAAUAUAUUUUUGUUUUGAUAAAAAUUUAAUUAAAAAUUAUCUAUUUAAAUUUUUUUAUAAAUAAUUUUAAUUAUAAAAAGAAUAUGCAGACUGACCCGGAAGUCCGUGACUCGUAUAGAACCAAACUCAUGCACCAAUUUUGUAACACAUUUAAUUCGGGCUUUUUAGCUUUAUCCAAAAAACCCGCGACCCGGUUGGCCAGUCAUAUGCAAAUCGGGUAGUCCGAUUUGACACAUCUAGACGACGUCAAAGUUAUUUUAUUAAAAUUUAUAAUUGAUGAAAGUUACUCUAUCGAUAGGAACUAAACUACCACUACAACAAGACGGAAAAUUCAAACAAUAUUGCAUUAAGACGACAAACAAAACAUCAACGCACUUUGACAAAGAAAUCACAAAAAGAUACCAAAGAAAAAUUAAAUAAAAUCAUUUACUUAGAUAAAAUAAGAAUAAAAAUGACUUAGAGGUAGGGGUGUUCGCGGUGUGGUUUGGAUGAGACAAAAACUCAUAUGAUCCAAAAUUAAAAUACUCCAGGUUUGAUUUAGUUUGGUAUGAAUGAUAUUUAUAAAAAAAUCCAACAUGAUCUGAUUCGAAUUAAUGCGGUUUAAAUUGGAUCGAUUUUCGCUUAUCCAAAUUAUAAUUAUAAAAUAUUAAUUGAAUAUUAUUAUUAUUAUUAUUAUUAUUAUUAUUAUUAUUAUUAUUAUUAUUAUUAUAAACUUACGUUAAAGUAACAAGUUUAAAAUAAAACAUAACAGUUAAUAUAUUAAAAAUUAACAUUACAAAAUAAUAUUAAUGGAUUAUGUUUGAAAUAUAUGCAAUAGUAAAAAAUAGUAAAUUAAACAAAUAAGUACUAUUAAUAAAAAUUAAUACUAACAAAUAAUAAAUUAAUGCGAUAUCUAAUAAUAAUAAAAAAAGAUGGGUUAAGGGCACUUGUUAAAACAAAAUCAAAAGUAGUAAUUUCUUUCUUAAAAAAGAUAAAAUUUAGAAUUUUUAAAAUUUUGAAUACACAAUUUUUAAUAUACUUUUAAUGUAAAAUUUAUAUAUUUAGACUAUUAAUAAAGAACACUUGUUAACAUUUUCCUAAAAAGAUAAAUAAGUAUAAAAUUGACACAUGUGUUCGGUUUGAUUUUGUUUAAAGUUUUGAAAAUUGAAUUCGAAAUUUGAUCUAAUAUGUGCGGUUUUUAUAAAAGAAAAUCCAAACACAUUAAAUAAUAUUUGAUUUUGUGCCGUUUUCAAUUUUUUUAGAUCAUUUUACAAGUUUUUUUUUUUUUAUUGAUUUGAUGUGAGCAUUCCUACUUAAAAGGGUGGUUCUAUACUAAAAAAAAAAACAAUCUUAAAUCACAUUUUUCUAAUAAAUGAAGAAGAAGAAGAAGAAGAAGAAGAAAGAACAUAAGUUUUUAUAGAUAAGGCGGUGGUGACACUUUUCUUUAUGUGAUGACUAAUGAGAGACAACAUACUAGAGUUGAACAAUAAAUUGUAGUAAUCUAAAUUUCAAUUAAGAUGUAAAUAAGGUUCAGUAAAAUAUUAUUAACUCCUGAUUUAUUGAAGGCCAUUGACCUUUUUGUUACUACUCUCUCCAAUCAUUUUUAUAAUAGACAUUUAGAGCAAUAAUAAUUGAUGUAUUUAUAUUGACUCAAAUGUUUUUUAUAAAAAGAACCAAAAGUAUAAUUUUAUUGUGUUUAAAUAGAUUAAAAUGUUGGUAAAAAGAUUGUAAUGAUUUCUUCCAUAAAAAUAAUAAAAUUUACUUUUAUGAUAGUUUUUAUGUUAGUUUGAUAAGAAAAAUAGAGUAAAGAAGAAAUAAAAUUAUGAAUAAAACAAUUUAAAUCUAAAAUAAAAUGUUACACAAAAAUUUGAUACCUCAUUUGUAUAUGAGUGUGUAUAUAUUAGUUAUAAGAGAAGUGUUAGGAACAUUAUCUUUGUAACAUUCAUUCUAAGAUUUAUUCUUUUAUUAGGUGAGAGAAAUGUGAAUGUCAUUACUUUAUGUGAGAUUUAUUUCGAAAGUGUGGGACUCAUAUUGAUUUUAUCUAAUAAGAGAGUAGGUAUUGAAAAAAGAGUAUUAUUUGCAUUCUUCUAUGUUAUGUUAGUCUUAAACAUGUUCUUUAACACAUUUUUUUUAACAUUCUCUAUUUAAUUUGUUAAAAUUUACAUAGGUCUCAUUAAAAUAUACGGGUCUUUUAUAAAAUUAGUAAAACUAUGUGUAGUUUAACCAAUUAAAGAAAAUGUGUGUUAAAGAUUCUAUUGUUGACAUUAUUCUUAUUUUAAAGAAAAUGUUUGAUGAACACUCAAAUCUCCAUUUGAUACUAUGAGAAAGAAAUAGAGACGGUGGAUUGAUAUAUGUGAUAUGUUGGUGAUAUUAUAGAAAGAGAGAUAUAUAUAAAAAAAUAAAUGUUCAAUGAUUGUAUGAAAAUUAGAAAUUUGAAAUUAUUGGUGUUCUCUUCUUUACUCCCUCAUAUCAUGAGAGAGAUAAAAACAUAAACAUAUGAAAAAUGAUUUUCAUAAAUUCUACAUACAAACAAGAAAUUUCUUGU
rnacentral:lncRNA from 1 species